rnacentral:lncRNA from 1 species
AAAAUAUUAAAAUAAAUCAACACAUGUUCAAACGUUAAAUAUAUUGUAAAAUAAUAGGCUAUACUAAUAGAAGACUAAAUUAAAAUUGAAUUAAAAUAAGUGGGAUAAUUUGAAAAUAGAAGAAAUCCCAAAAUAGGGACCAGUGCGCAACAUGUGCUAAUGUGCAGGGACCAAAUCUGGAAAUAUUCCAUACCCCAAAACGCAGCCUCGAAGUGCUGACCAGAUCGAAUUAAUGCGCAAAUUAUAGGAAAAAUUUAGAAACUAAAGAAACACCAAUAUAAGCUUAUUUAAAUGCGGCGCGAAAGGGGAGGGACUUAUAUCGCAAAUAACCCAUCAGUGACCAAACACGCGGAUCUUGAACAUGUGCGGGUCUGGUCAUCGGGCUGUAGCUCCUUGAAUGUUGUCGUUUUGAGACCAUUAAUUUGGCCUAAAACGGUGACGUCUAAAGGGCCUUUAUAGUCACCGAAACAAACCCUAAAAAGGUUUGCAGCCAUUUACAGAAAGGAAAAAAAAAACCUAGGUUGCUUUCUCAACCCUUCGCCGACUAACAGUCUUUUGAAGGUCUGUUCUCCUGCCUGUCCUUUCGACUCAUACAAUGGUCAAUCGAGGCUUCAUUGAACCAAAAAAAUUCGUGAGUCUUACUCACAAGCCCCAAAUCGCUACUUAGUUUCGACUGUGGCGAAACAAGCGGGGAUCCAAAGGCAUCAAACGCAGGUAAGUUUCUUUUGUUUUUUAGUAUAUUCGAUCAAAAGAAGGUAAGUAAGAAAGUAAGAGAGAAAUAAGUGAGGAAAAUCGUGAAUAAAUCACCUUGCUCUGUUUUUCGUCUAUUCUGAUUGCUUUUCUAUUGCGUAUAUUGCGUGUGUGUAACCUUACAAACGAUGAAAUCCCUUGGCUUUAUAGCUGAAGGGAUAAAAAUGAUAAAAAAAAACAUAAAUAAAAAUACAAUAUUUUCCUUGUUUUGCUGUGCGUUCGUCCUUUUUGCAUGUGCGUGGCGCGAGUACGGGGGCUGUGUGCUAGCGUACGGAGGCGCGCGUGGCGGUCGUACGGUGCGAGGGCUGGAGCUUAGCUGCGGCGCGAGGGAGAGAGUCCUAGGGUUUCUGGUGACCAAAGUUUUGGGUUGUUUGGGCUUGUUUUGGGUAUUGGGCCGUUUGGGUUAAUUUGGUUUUAUGGUCUUGAAUAUUAGGCUUGUAUAGGGUUUUGAAUUUGGGCUAUGUAAUUGGACAUUCAAUGGACUAUUAAUAUUUGGACCUUUUUAUUCUUUAUUUGGUCAUGAUGUGGACCUGGGCAAAUUGGCCCGUUUACAAUACUUAUAAUGUAAACAUUAAAAAAUUAUUAUAUUACAUAUAUAAAAUUUAAAUUAAUGAAAAAAUAAAAUACGGGCAAGCAUAAAAUUAGUUUAAAUUAAUCAUUUAUAAAUAUAGACAGGCCUAGAUAAAACUCCAAGCUCGUAUUUCGGUUCGAGGUUGAGUUUGCUCAAGUAUAAAAUGUUUCAAUAUCAUGCUUAAGUUUACCCAUGAACAUCUCUAUUCACGAUCUAGCCAAUUUAUCUAGGUUUGUGUGAAGAUGUUCUAAUUUUAAGUCAACUUGAUCCAACCCAAAUUUAAGUUAAAUAAUUUUUAAGAAAUAUUUUUUUAAGAUUUAAUUAUAAAAGUAUGUAAAUAUUAAUAACUCUAUAUGUAUAAAUUAAUUUUUUUCAUUAUUUUUAAGCAAUCAAUGAACUAUUUAGAUAAGUUGGACCAAGUCUCACGAUGAUAGAACUUUAGUCUCACGUUUUGUGCGGCUUUAGGCUAUCCUUUCGAUUUAAACACGCCUAAGUCAGCCUAACCACCACAAAGUGAGUAUUCAUAAAAAAUUCUUCCAAUGCACCAAUUAAUAUAGCAGAAGCAACUCUAGCCAAAAGAAGGCAAAAUAGAACAAAAAGCCACAGAAAACUAUGCACGGGAGGUAUUUGAGUAAAUGUUCUCAAUUGUAUUACUUUCUCUCAAAGAAUACAAAACAGUGGAAUGAAUUACAAGUGAAGGGAGGCUCAUUAUUUAUAGUUGAACUCCCUCAAAACCGACAAUCUAGAUCAAAUUACAUCAACAGACGAGAUUAGUCUAUCCCUUAAAUUUAAGGAUUUACAAGAUUACAUAAUCAAAUCUAAUCUAAUAAUCUUAUAAGAUACGAUUCCCUCAAUCUUCUAAUAUUAGUUUCCUAUUUACCAAGGUAGCCUAACUUUUCAUAUCUUCAUCAUUGGGUCACAUAGGCUUCAAUCUGACAGGCUUCACCAAUAGCUCUUUAAAUCGAGCUAGCUCUCAUGGGUAAAUAAGCCUCAUCUAACUGAUAGACCUCCUGAGACACAUUUUUUGCAAUGGUCACGGGCUUUGCAACUUGGCCCGUAACACAAGCCUUAGCUUGGUUUUUUUUUUAAAUCUAGUUCAAAUCCGAUCUAGUCUAACCCAUGAACAUUUUCAGUUUAAUGAGACUAAUUAAUAUUUCAAAUCUAAUACUUAUAUUUAAAUAUUUUACUAAGUUGAUGUCACUCUUAACUGAACCACCAAUUUAAUUGUAAAAUCACAUAAAUAACAAUUCUUUUAAAUUAUAAUUAAUAUUAUUAUGAUAACAUUUUUAAUUUUUUUUUAUUUUUUUAAAUAAAAGAAUAAAAAUUACAAAUCUAAAGAUUAAAUACAUGUUCGAUAAUAUUAAAAUAUAAAUCGAUUAUCACUACAUUUAUUUAUUAUUAAAUAAAUUUUAACAUAAAAUAUUUUCUCGACCUCGUUGUAGGUAUGACAAAAGCUAAUAUAUAUAAUAUUAUAAAUUGCAAUUAAGAAAAAUAAAAUCAAUUCUAAAACCUACCAAUUGAGGAAGAAAGAAAAUUAUCAUUUUUUUUUAGCUUUACGUGCUCAAAAAUAAAACUACAAAAUUGAAAUUGAAUUUUCUUUCUUUUUUUUAUUUUAGUUUAAUUCUUUAAUUUCCUUUUUAUGAUUUUUUUUAAAUUCAAGAUUUAAGAAAUGGGCUACAAAUAAGAUCUUUUUUUUUACCCUAUUUUAUUUGAUACUCUAACUAAAUCAUGCACCUAAAAUCGUGGCCCACAAUGAUGAUGGAUCAAAAAAUCAUCAACAACAUCACCACCGUUGGAUAUGGGGAAAACUGAAGUUUGACUAAGAAACCGUGUACCCUGUCCCCCUCGCUGCAUGUCCUUUUGCCUCCUAAUCUCCAAAACCUUCCUAUGCGAAUUCGAAUGCUCCGUUGACACAAACGUCGGGCUCGCAGCGGGUCGGUAUUCGGGUACCAACCGACCCGAUUUGUACCUCACACCACACGCAUUACACAGCGUUUUCGGACCCAUCGGUCCCGUCCUCCAUUGUGGUGUCUUCUCCGACGCACAAUGUAAACAUUUCCGACCCGAAUACUCCGAAUUUCCGUUCGGGUUAUCCCUAUUCUUAUGACCCGUGGGUUUCGGGUUUAAGUGGAGGACUCGGGUCGACCAAUCGCACGGUGCGUUCAUUGAACGCUUGGAUCGGGCCUUCCCUGGUAACGGAGCCCCGUGUUUGAAAAUCGGGUCGGUCGAGCUCCGAGGUAAUGAAUCGGAUCGGGUUGAGGAAGAUGAGGAUUCGGGUGUGGGUAAAGCAAAAAUUUGGUGGUUGCUUUGUAAAUUCGGGACCGUUGAAAAUGAAUCUUCAACAAAAUUUGAAAGCCAUUCAAGUUCCGCCAAUUCAUCGUACUGUAAAUAAUAAUAAAAAAUAUCAAGUUCGUUCAAUUAUUUUGGUUUAAUAAAUUUCAUAUUUUUCACAUAACAAAAUUUAAAUUUUUUAAGUUUAAUUUAUGAAACUUUAAUUUUUAUACUUUAAAAAAAUAGUUUAUCAAAUUUUGUCCUUUGUAAAAUAUGAAUCUAUAGACAUUAUUGUCAGAGGUGGACAGUAAUGGUAGUUAAGAGGGACCUUAACUUCUAAAAUUUUGAAAAUUUACAUUUUCUUUUUAAAAAAUUUUAAAUUUUAACUCGAAUUUUUGAAUUUUUUAUAAAAAUUUUCAUUAAUUUCAUAAAAUUUUAGAAAAUUUAAUUACAUCCCAAUUUUUUUAAAAAUUUUAAUUAGAUCCGAAAUGUUAAUCUCAACAUAUCCCACAGCUAAUCAACAAAAUAUGUAGAAAUUUACAGUUUUGUUUUAUAAACAACUCAUAUCGUGAAAUUCAUAAUUAAAUAAAUUAUUUUCCAAAUUUCGAUUAGUCUAAAAAAAUUACACGAUUUUGAUUUCAAAAACAUGUUAUUGGUUACAAUUUAUUCGAAAAUUAUUUGAAGUUGAUGUUUAAUUUUUUUUAAUUAAAAAAUGGUGUUAAUUUGACGUGAAUCGUUGUUUUUUUUAGUUUCACCAUGCAAAAAGAAAGGAAAAUAAACUAUUUCAUUACCGGGACGCCGAGUUCGCCGGAGAACUGAGAGGAGUGAGUGAAAUUAGCGGAAGAGAAGUGAUUUUCGCCACCGGACACUGAAGAAUUGCAAGUGACGGUGGACAAAUCGGUGGAAUUACCCGCGACAUUAUCGAACACCAAGCCGUCGCCGAUAACGGCGUCUUCGUUAGAGAAGUCGAGGAGGUCGUCGACGAUGAAAUUCUCCCCCAGCUUUUCCUCCACCAUGGACAUCCUUUUCUCCGGCGAGAAAUCACCUGCAGCUCCGCCGCCGUAAUAACCUCCGACGAAGAAGUCCCCCAUCUCCAUUACAAAAAUUACAAUGCACGACGACUUCCUAUACACAAAAUAUAUCAAAAAUCUUGUCGUUUUUAGAAAGAGAAAAUAAGAAAAAAAAAAAAGUUGAAAGGAUUUUAGAGAGAGAAAGCUUUGGAGUCUGUGAGAGAGAAAGAGACUGAAGAGUGAAGAGAAAGGGUUGGGUUAUGAGGAGAGAAGGGAAUGGCAAAAGUGUAAAUAUGUGGAAAUUGGAGUUUUUUUUUUUCCAUGUAAAGCAUAUAAGUAAUUUAAUAAUAAAGAGACAGAGAACUCAUUUGCAAGUUCUUUUUACAGUACUCAGAAUUUUUAAUUGUAUUUAUUUAAAUGAAUUAAAAUAGUUACGGGCAAAUUACAUCUAAUGUCACUAAAUUAUUGAUAAGUUUACGUUUUGUUCAUUUAACUUUAAAAUAUUACAAAAUGGUCAUUGAACUAUUCAAAAGUUUUCAUUUAAAUUAUUAAACUAUUCGAAAGUUUUUAUUUAAGUCCCUGGGUUAUUACUCUAUUAAGUUUUUUUUUAAAUUGUCCCAAUAACGAGCUCCAAGCGAUGAUUCAACGAUCGGAAUGGUGGAUUAGUACCCAUCAAAGAGUAGAAAAAUAUAGCUUAGAUCCAAGUUGACCCGGAAAUUAGUAUCAAAGAUCAGAUAAAAAAGUUAUUUGGAUUUCAGUUCGUAGAUUUGUGACAUUCAAAGUUGUUUCAUGAAAAAAUAAACUAUAAAAGAGAAUGGGACGAAGAGCUUUCGAUUAUUACAGGUAGUGCAAACAAAGAAGGUCAUACAAUAACAAUUUUAACAACCCAGUAACUUAAUUGAAAACUUUUGAAUAGUUCAGUGACCAUUUAUAAUUUUUUAAAAUCGAAUGACCAAAUUUUAUUUAUUUCGUUUUUAGAAUGUAAAGAUAUUUUAUGGUAGGUUAAAAAUAUAAAUAUUCAAAUAUUUGGAAUUUAAUUUUUUUAUUUUCAAAAAUUAAUUUAUCUAAUUUUUUUUUCAUAUUACAAAAUUGAAAUUCAAUAAAUAAUAAAUACUUCAUAGACAUGUAAUAAAAAUUGGUGUUAUAAUGAAAUUGAAUCUAAAUAAAAAAGAAAAAUUACAGUGUUAACAACUAGACUUGCAUUUUAAAAUUCAAAAAGUAGAGGGAUUGAAUUUUAAACGUACGAGGAGUAUAUGGGCUUGGAGCAUAUUUUAACAUUUGUGUUAUGCCAUUCAAGGUUUAAAUGUGCUUUUUAAGUCCCUAUACUCUUAUUACAUUUGAAAUUUAAUCCCCUUAUAAAUUUAGUCCCUCUACUUUUUAAAUUUUAAAAAUACAAGUCCAAUUAUUAAUAUCAUUAAAAAUUAUUUUUUAAAAUUCAAAUAUAUUAUUAUUAUUAUUUGUUACAUAACUAGCAAUUGAGUAUUUUUUUUAUAUCAAAAUGUGACACCAAUAAAUUUAAUAAAAACAUCAUAACGUUGUUAACAAUUGGACAUAAAUAUUUAAAUUUGAAAAAUUGAGGUAUUAUAUUUUUGAAAAUAUAAGUAAAUGGUUAAAUUCCAAGUGUACGAAGAAUAUAAAGACUUUGAGCAGGUUUUAACCUUCGUUGAAUGUAUCUAUAUUUUUUAAAAUAUUUGCCAUUUAUUUUUAUUUAAUUGAGAAAAAAACUAAAAAAGCAAAAAUAGACAUGAACUUUUGACGAUUUUAAGAGUGACUCAAACCAAAUCGAAUUUUAUUUGUUUAUUUAGUUUAUAACUAUUUUUAAUUUUUUAUGGUGUGAAAAUAAAUAUUUUUACACUUUUUUUCAAACAAAUAUUUUAUAUUUAAAUAGUGAAAUUUUUAAAAAUUGUUAUUAUUAUUUUCAAAAAAAAUACUAUAUAAUAUUUAUUAAAAAAUAUUUAUUAAAAAAAAAGAAUGAAACCAAACUGAAUUAUUAUGAAUGAUUCGAACAUUCUAUAAAAAAUCGAUCAAAUCAAACUAAACUCAACUUCGGAAUAUAUUAUUACAUAUAAUAAUAUUAUAUCAUUAAAUAAAGGAAUCCUUUUAAUUUUUAAAAAAAAAAUAAAAAAUAUAUUAUUUUAUAAUAACAUCAUAUUAAAUAUAAUAAUUGAUAUCAUUAUUCAUCAUUUUUAAUGCAAUAGGUGAAUAUAUUAUUACAUAUAAUAACUUCAAAUAAAUAUCAUUGUAGUAUUAGUUAUCAAGAUCCAAAUUACUUUCCUUUUAAAGCUUUGAAUUUUAAUUUGUUCAUUUAAUAUAAAAUGUGGCCACAUUCAUUCAUUUCAACCAUCAAAGCAUAUUGGGAAAUUUUUAUGAUUCAAAUUUUAAUUAAUUUGUAAAAAAAAAAAACCCAUCAAAACAAAAAUGGAAAAAAAAAGCUUGUUUAACAUGAUCAAACAAGAAAAAAAAAUACAUCCCAAAGCCCCAAAUUCAUUGAUUACCCAAAAACAUUGUAACAUAAUUGUUAAUUGUGGACUUUAUUGAAUGUUUUAGUUAGUUUUAUAACAAUCAUGAAAAAUAAUAAAAAAAACCAUUAAAGGAUUGUAAUAAUAAAAAAAGUUUUAAUAACUAAAAAUAUGUUGAAGAUGUCAAUAAGUCAUUGGUUUAGUGACAAUAAAUUUAUGUACUUUGAAAUAUUUGUUGACACUAAAUUUAAAGUUGGAAUAUAUAAGGAUUAAAUUUUAAAUUUUUAAAAAUUUAGGGAUCUCUUACAUGUUUAAACCUAAAAAAAAAUUAAAGUUAGAGUGUAAUUAAAAAAAAAGGAAUACUUGUGGAAUAAAUAAUUUUAACUAUAAUGUAUCAAAUAUAGCCCAUAGUUUAUGUAAAUUUUCAAUAAAGACAUUAAAAAUUCAAUACUAUAAGUACAAGCAUAAUGUACUGAAAAUCAAAAUAUAUACAAUGAGACUUAAACUUAAAGUAAUUUCGAGAAAUCUCACAUACGAUAUUUAUAUGUGAUAAGACUCGAAUUUAAAUAGAAAUCCUACUUUUGAUUAUCCGUAAAAUUUUAAAAAUAAAAUUUUGAUUUAAUUAUUUAAAAAAAUAUAAAAAUAUAUAAUUUAAUUUCAAUUUUUUUAUUAAAAAAAUUGCUUCCUACUGAUCCUAAGACCUGUCUUGAAGAUAGAAUAUUUUAAAGGGAAGAGAAAUAAAAAAUAGGGGUAAAAGUAAAAAUGAUCCCAAGGAGACAAAGCAACAAAGUGUAAGGUGUAGCUAACCAUAAUGGUGGCAGCUGUCACAUAAAAGGGUAACAGCUAUAUAGGCCAAACACAACUAUAUUACCAUCCCUCUUUCAAAUUUCAAAGCUACCUUCCUUCAUGGGAGCUUUUAAUGCACCCCCCCUUACUUCAAACCCACCCAUCUUCAUUAUUAUUUAUUGACCUUAGCAUAUAUAUAUAUAUAUAUAUAUUCGACAAUUAAAUAAGUACUGUUAUUGGUUUCGAUUUAAACUGAUUGAAUCAAUAAUCGAUGAAUAUAUUAAUUUUUAAUAUUAGUGUUGAAUCGACUUAUAAAUAAAUAGUUUAAAAUUGAUAAAAUUUUAAAAAAAUCGACAAUUUUAAUAAUUUUAAAAUUGUAUCAAUAUGUCAACUUUAAUAUUAAUAUUGAAUCGAUCUAUAAAUAAAUCGUUUAAAAUUAUAAAAAAAUUUUGAGAGUUCGAAUUACUAAAACAUUGAAUAUAAGAUAAUAUUUUAUAUUUAUAAUUUUAGUAAAUAAAUUCAAAUUAUUUCAAGUAAAUGUCGAAAUAAAUAUAAAUAUAGAAAACUCUAUUAAAUUUAGACUUAUCCAAAUAUAAGCAUUGAAUAAGGAUUUUUAUUGUUAUUUAAUUUUUUAAAAUUAUUUGAAUUUAAUUAUAUAAAUAUAUUUUUAAUAAUAAACGAGUUUGCUCAAGCAUAAAUUGAUUUAAACUAAAAAAAUCGAAUCAUAAUUUGAAUUACUCGACUUACGAAUAGAUUUAUUUAAUUAAACUCGAAUUGAUUGGAUUUGAUUUUUUUUUUAAAUUAAGAGAAAAAACUUUUAUUUUUAAAAAUAAAAAUGCAUGUAUUGAUUAUUUAAACAUUUAAUAUAUUAAAAUUUUGAAAAUCAAUAAAUACUAAUAUAAUUGUAAUUAAUUAAUCAAAUAAAAAAUUAAUUAUUUCUUUUCUGCAUUCUUCUAAUAAAAAAUAUUUUUAUUUUAAUUAAUUGUGCUUUUUUUUUCCUACUUUCUUCCCUAUUGGUAAUGAUUAAUUAUUACUAUGUUUUCCUAAUUUUAUUCCUUCUUCACGUUUAAGCACUGUGGUUAGAGCUCUAUUUAAUCAAAAUUAACGGCCACGAUCUCAUUCACGUGGCUACAAUAGGUUUUUUUCAACUCAUUUCCCAUUUCCCCGCCAAAUAUUUAUAUUUAUUGAAAAUUAAAUUUUAAUUUUAUAAGUGAUAUUUAUAAAAAGUUACACACCUUAUGUUGAAAAUAUAAAAAUUAAAUCGGAGUUUAUAAUAUUGAUAAAUAUUGCAUUUUCGAGAUUUUGAACACUCAAAUUUAAGUCCCGUCAUAUAUAAAUAUUAUACUUGAGUUUUCUCAUAAUAUACAAACUCUAUUCAUAUUUAUUCUUAUUAUAAGUUCUGAUUAUAUUUGUUAUUCUUGACAUAAUACCUAGAACUACUUAUAACCUCUCUUAACCCAUAAAUAGAAAAAUAAUGUAUUUCAGCGCACUCGAACCUAUAUCUUCCUACACUGACAAAUAAUACACAUACUAAUUAAAUUAAAACUCAAUCAAAAAAUAAAUAAUAAAUUAAUUGCAAGAAAUCCUUCUAUUUUUAACAUUGCAAAUUUUCUAUGUUCAAAAAAAGAGUUAAUUUAGUGAAAAAUAAAUAGUCCUAUUUUCUGCCUUUUAUUAAAAUGAAAUCGUCUAUUAUCCCUUCAUUAUAAUUUUUAAAAAUUUUAUUUAUAUAUAUAUUUUUUAAAAAGUCAUCAAUUAAUUAGAAUUAAAAUAAAAUCAAAACAAAGGGACUGGAAACCAAAAUAUAUUUAUAUUAGAAUAAUCUCGAAACUUUAAAUAUUUUUUAUUAUUCUUUUAUUAAGGUUAAGAAAACAUAUAUGUGUGUUGAUUAAUGUAAUUAAAAUAUUUUUAAAGGGGUGAGUGGGAACCACAGCGCACGUGACAGAGGAGGUGGAGGUGUCAGCGAUCAUGUGACUUUCCUUUUCUAAAGUUUUUAAUAAGCAAUGGGGGGUGACGGAAGUUGUGGGGUCAAAAAUCACGUGGCGUUAAUUAAUUGAAUUUUUGAACGUGGGACCCACUUUUGCUUUGGAUGCUUCUCCCCACACGUGCCAUAUUCCUUUGUUAAGAAUAUCCAUCGAAAAACUAACAUGGUAGCACGUGCAAACUUCUGUCACGUGAAUGGCAAACUUCGCACGUGUCUCUCACUCUCCACCUUUGAUUUUUGGGUAAUUUGCACAUCUCACUAAAUUCUUAGUAAAUUUACAUUUUGAUUACUCUAUUUCAAAAUAUUUAAAAAAUUAUCAUUAAAUUAUAUAAAAAAAUUUAUUUAAAUCAUUGAACUAUUAAAAUCAAUAUUGUAGGACCUUUUUGUUCGCAUCGCUUAGACCAAUUGAAAGUUUCUUUCCUCUUUUCUUCUACAAUUUAUUUUUUUAAUAAAAUAACUUUAAACGUUAUGAAUCUCUAAUCUCUAACAUUGACCACCAUAUUGAGUUGAAUCUAAAAUAUAUUUUUUCUACUCGUCAAUGAAUACUUAUUCACAAAACUGAUUGUCAAAUUAUUACUUAGAGUUCACUACCCAAACUUUAAAAAAAAAAAACAUAUCAACCCAAUGAUCUAAAAAAAAACUUUUGAAUAAUUGAGUAACUUAAAUAAAAAAUUCAAACAAUUUGAAAAACAUUUUGUAUCUUUUUUUUAAGUUGAGUAAGCAAAACGUAAAUUUUGUAAUAAUUUAGUGACUUCUGGUAUAAUUUAGCAUAGUCUUCCAUAAUAUAAAAAUACAAUUUCUAAGUGACAUUUCAAAACCAAAUGAGAAUAUUAUUUAUUUUUCAUAAAAUAAAAUUAGUAUUAAUUUAAACCAUACAAUUUAACUAAAUAUGAAUUCAACUAAGUAAUAUUAAUUCAUUAUUGAUAAUAAAUAAAAUUAUAUCAAUAUUAUUUGCUAUUUUAUUUUUUAAACGAUACAUAGUAGAGUUUUUAUUAUUUAAAUUAUGCAAAUUGAGUUGAAUUCAAGGUAUUACCAAUAAGUAAUAUUAGUUAAUUAUUAUUAGAUAAAUAAUAAAAUUUAUCACUAUACUUUAUUUUGAUUGAUAUUUACAAUUAUAUUUUGAAAUACGAGUAAAAUUGGCACUCAAUUCUUAUACAGUUAGAUUAAAAAAAAAUACUUCCAUAAAUUUGAGUUUCUUAAACUAAAUUUUAUAUAAUAUCAUUUUUGAUUAUUGAAAAUAAAAGUUAAUAAGAAAAUUUAUUUUAAUUUUAAAAUGAAAAUUUUAAAAUUAAAAAAAUAUUUAAAAAUAAUGAUAAAAGAAAUAAAUUAAAUCACAAAAAAAUAUUAAUUCUCCACAUCAAACAAGGCCUAAAAUUUUCAAUUUUAUAGUGAAAAAUUAACCCCUAAGCUUAUAUAGCAUCACCGACCUAGCUCAGAUCGAAUUAUUAUUUAAAUUUAAUUAUAGAAUAUACAAAUAUCAAACUAAAUAUUUUUUAAAAAUAGAAAAAACAAAAAAGGAGAAUUUUUCAAACCAGACCAAUCAAUAAGAGAUUCAAAAUAUUUCAUGAAAACCUAUUAUAGUCCAAACAAGGCUUUCAAAUCUAAGUUCUGGAUUAAUAGAUGCCACAACUAUUUUUAUUACAGGCCUGUGCCUUUCAAGCUAUAAAUAUACCACCAAUCUACCUGUAUCCAGUUAAUAAAUGCAUAAAACAUAAAUUUAAAUUUUGUACAAUAUGAGGUAUGAACAAGCAAUUUUACAUUUUUAAUUAAUUACAAAAAUGUCUUGUAAAUGUUAAAAAGUUCAAAGACAGUUUUUCUUAACCGUGCCAAAUGAUCAUAAAGAAUAUGUAGAGCAAUUUUUACUGUACCUGGCUAAAGCUAUGGAAGGAAUUAGAAAUGGAGACUUCUUGAUGCAAUUGAUGCCCUGUUUUGAUAAAUGAAUAGAAAAAAAAAAAUAUAGUUAUGAAUUUCAAAUGAUGAAAGUGAAAAGUUGUGGUGAAGAGAAUACAGCACUCUGAAAACACUGACCAUGCUUGUCUGCAUCGGACAGCUUCACGACGGACAGCUCUCUUUGGAUCAUCAAGAGCCUUUAUUACAGCUUGUAGUACCUGAUAAAAAACGAAGAUACAGAUUUCAGUGCAGAUACAGAAGGGGGCGGGAACUGCACAAACAAGUCUCGACGAGAAGCUCAUCAUCCCAGGACUUAGAAAUAUCGUUUUUUGAAAGAUAUGCCAAACAGGGAGUAAAAUAUUCCGGAAAAGAAAACCCAACUCCUUAACGGUUGACUUACCUGCGUUCUCAUUGGAUAAAUCCUUGCAUGGGAUAGCCCAGAAAUGGCAAUGAGACACUGCACGGCUGUCUCACGAACAAGCUUAAGAUGCCGAGAGAGAAAAGAACAAUUUCAAAACCGACAGUAUAUGUAAUCAGUAUUAUAUGGAUUGAAUGAAAAUGGAAUCGCAGUGGUAAAUUUCAUGGUAGCUGAAUAGCAUACUAUAUAUAAUGGCAUUGCAACUAUCAAUAGUCCACUUAUUUUUUCUUCUGUUCCGAAUGUUUUUUGAUAUAAUAACAUGUACGAACAAGCACAAGAAAGAUAAAAUAUAUAUACAUGUUUUCCUCGAAAAGAUUUCCAGUACCGUCAUAUGAGGGUAUCGUGUAAGAUCAACGAGACAAUUGACAACUGUAUGCGCACUAUCAGAAACAGCUUCUUGACCUGCAGAAGAAGACCAUAGAAAAUCGCAAUAGAAAACAGCUUCUAUCACAAUAUUUAUAGAACUAGGAAACUUGAAUAGAUGCUCGCUCUAAAUGUAAAAUCGCAAUAGAAAAGUUCGGACAAAUGACAACAAUCUACUGAUGUAUAGUUAAGCUCACCAUUUUUGUCCAUCAAUAUUCCAGACAAGACCAGUAGAAGACCAUAAAGAACUUCUUUAUCCACAACAUCAUUGCUUAAUGCCGAUAAACCAUCCAGUAGCAUUGGAAUUAUCUACAUUAAAAAAAAUUUUGGCAAGUGAAAUAAAAAACUUUCUCAAAGAGUAUAAUAUAUCCGAGAAAUAGCCAUAACCUUUUGCAGAAAGUUCAAUACUAAAUUCCAAUACUAACCUUCUUGGUGUCACUUAAGACAACAAUUAGUGGAGUAUCUAUAAUAACAUGUGCAGAAGCCCGAAAUAGAAAAGACCUGAAAUCACAUUGCAGUUUAGUGAGAAAUCAACCCAAAUUGACCAAUAAACUUUCAUACUAUAUCACGGGGUCAAUAACAAUGUCAUAAGUGCUCGAGAAAAAUGUAGCUACUAAGUAGCUCAAUAAGAAGCUAUUAAUUUAUUAUUUUGUAUCUUGGCAUAAAUCAUUCAAGCAUGCACAAACCUGGACAAAAUGAAAAUAGGUACUAUAUACAUAGGCAUAAGCGCACAAAAAAAUAAACAUCACAAAACCAUUAAUGAAGAUAGAUCAUUUUUACCUUGAGAGUGGUUCCAAUUUCAUAACUAGAGAUUGCAAAACAGGCAUUAUUGCUGAGAAAAAUCGUUGCUUAUAUAGAGGUCGUAUUAUUGCAUGGAAUUCCCGAUUCAAACACUGUUCACAGUCACCUAUAAGGAUCUGAAACGCAUCUGCUGCAGUUUUCAUCACAGAAUUAUGCAAAUCAAGCUUAUAAUUGUUCUCCGAGAUACUCUUUUCCUGAUGAGAUAUACCUGCUCUUCCACUUGACUGUAAACACUGUAAAAAGAUCAUAGUAAUGUCAUUAACCUUUUCAUGGCCCCGCAUAAGCAAACCUUUUCCUAUCCAUGCAAGUCCCAAAAUGGCAUGAAUUUGAAGGGAGGUACAACUUCCAACACCAUUAGAUAAAUCAUUUAAAGCUGUAUCAUGGACACUGAUCAUUUUGGAUUGAAUACUGGAGGAGCUAUUCUUGUCGAAAAUCCACAAACUCAAGUUUAGUAUUAUAUCCAUUGCUUCCUCCAAGGUACAAUCACUUGAAGUUUGUCCACUCGUGGAUUUUAGAUCCAAUUUGUUAACCAUAGAGCCCAAUGCUUGGGCUGCUACAACAUUACCCUUGAGAAGGGUUGUCAUGAACAGAGAAACUAUUGAUCUUGUAUUCGGAAUGUGGGUUUGAGGAUGAACUGCUAUAGUCACUGCAGCAAAAAGUGAAAGAACCCAUUCAUCUCUACUGGAACUAUUAUCCACUUCUUGAGCAAUUUGAAACCUUUCCUGCAGCAACAGCUCCUCCAAUGGAAAAGAAAUGCUUGAUGAAAGUAUAUUGUAACUCUUUUGCACAAUUAUGUUUUGCUUUUCCUCCGAACAAUUUGCAACAGCAAGUUUCAUUGCUUUCAUCAUCACAUCAAGAACUCCCUUAGAUUAAAAAUAAUAAUAAUUAGUGCCAUGUAAUCCCAAAGGACUGACGCAGAGUUCUAAUACAAACUCGAAAAAGCUUACCUUUUUGUUGGUUUGACUAGCAUUGAAGUGCGUGCUACUCUCAAUUUGGUUCCAAAUAUUAAUAGCAAAUUGCAAUAGAACUUCUUCAAAACCCUUUUCACAACGUAUCCUGCAUCCAUGCCAGUAAAUAUAUUAUACCAAAUAGAGAAAAAAAUUUGGGUGGAACAAAGAGGGACAAGAAAGAAACCAUUUUCCAACCUCCACCACCAAAAUAAAAAUUAAUUAAUUAAUAAAUAGGAGCAAGAGUAUAAAAGGUAGAGUUAUAUACCAUGGAAUCACCUUAUCAGAAUAGCAUUUCAAAAGGUGAGUAACAAUUUCUGCUGAAUUUGUACUUCCAUGGACCUAAGCAAAACAGGGGGAAAACUUGAAUUAUAAUCAUAUGGUUAAAGAAAAAUAUGAAAUGGAAAAAGAACCCAUAGAAAAACAACCAGGGAAAGCUUAUAAUACGGUGCAGUAGAGCUGGUCAUGUUAAGAAGAGUGAAAUGUCAUAACCUAUCCAGAUAUUACCAGAAAACCAUCUAUGAAAAAGAAAAUGAAGAUGAUGAAACCAUCAUCUUCCACAACAAGGAUAUUUGAUGUUAUGGUCUUUCACAUGAUAGUUAUCUUUUAGGAUGAGCAAUAACUUAUUGGCCAUACAUACAUAAACCUCAUAUAAAUUGGCAUAUAUGGCUUCUUCCAACCCUUGAACAACUUUCAGCAUAUAACUUCGCCCACUUGUGCCAAUGUCUGAGAGUGCUUCCAGUCUAAGCGGAAACAGUAUGCCAAAAUCUCCCACAAAAGCCAAUGAAAGAAUUUUUUCAACAACAAUGUCCAUAUAGCUUGAUUCCUUUUCAGAUUCAUGGUAUCUUUCUAUAAAUGAGCCAACCUCCACCAGUGCUUUAAGUGCCAGUUUCCAUGAUAGUCUCUUGCUAUACUCCUCAUUAAUAAUGGAUACAAAUGUAACUAAGAUCUUCUCAAACACAGUUUUUGAAAUCAGCGAAUAGCCUCCAGGGAAGGUAGCCAAAAUCAGCAACCCCUUUACUGCAUUUAAAAUCAAAACAAAAACAAAACAAAUCAAUGAUUUUGAUCUUGGUUUUGCUGAUUAAAUUGAACGGGAGCUUAAAGGUGGACCCGAACCAGAAUAUUCUACACAGCCAAUCAUUGAAAAACAUUAUAGGCAGCACAAAUUAAAAAGCAUACGAUAAAAAUUAUAGAUUCUUCUAAUCUCUGUAUGUGUGUGUUAGAGAGAGUGGGAACCAAAGUGAUUGAAGGGGACAAAACCAACUUCAGUCAAAACAGACAAGCUUUUUGAAAUGAUAAUUUUACACUUCUAUAUCUAUCACAAAUCAAAGCCAGAAGCUUUUACUAAAACCUCAGGCAAAAAGAUUGACAGGAGUAAAAAUGUAACAUGAACAAUUACACAAUAGGCACCACAGAUAAGUAUGCAAGCCUGUGGUGAAGACUGAAGUUAAGCACAGAAAUCAUAUCUACCACAUUGAAAGACAAAAAGCAUUUACCUCCAAUGUAUGUAGCGGCAUCAUGAGUACCUUCACUACUGCAAAUGAAGGCAGAACAGAAGCCCAUAGUAAGUGCAGGAGAAAAGCUUUGAAGCAAAUGCUUCCAUGUUUCUUCUGUAUGAGAAGUAGCUGCUAGGAUUGUUUCAGAACUAGCAAUCAUAUCUCGGCAUGCUGAAAGGAUCUCAAUGCUAAGAUAGAGAGCUCCGUGCUUACAUCUUUUGGAAAUCAAAAUACUCUCAUCAAAAUAUGGUUGUCCAGAUGAGUUUCUAGCAGAAAGACCCAGAAUAUCCAUCAAUUGGCUGAAGAAACAUUCAAAAACUCUAUUGCAUGACACUUGUGAGGCCUUAGCAGUAGUAAAAAGGACACGACCAACUGCAUUCAGUCUCUGCUUCCUCUCUAAAGGAAUUUCGUGGUAAUUCUUAUAAUAAGAUAUCGUAUUGAAGAUCAUACUUAUGUCUUCGUCACCAACAAUUAAAUCCAAAAACAAUUUUGUGUUCUGCACAAUAAGCUUCUGUAAAAGACUAAGAGCCUCUGCUGCAAUUUCAUUUUUUGGAAGAUCUGAACCUUCAAGGGAUUCUGGAGUAAACAAUAAAACACUGUCAAGUGAAGUAAAUAUUGCUUCUUUUAAUGAAGACCAAAUAGCUUCAAUGUGUUUUGCCAUUCUGUCUGCUCCAUACUUCAUUGUGCAAUCAGUUAGAUACCUCAAAGAAUCAAGCUGCAAACACAUACUUAACAUUCAACAGAUUUGACAUUUUAAGAGACACUCCUAUAGCCAGAAUAUGAAGAUUAUGAUUAGCUUCAAACAGCAAAAAUAAUUCAUUUGCACUGACCUUCGCUGAUGGAAGUGAAGAUGAAAGCUUUUCGAGUAGUAAUGGAAUGGCAUAUGGCUCAAAAAGUGGUGUGGAUGAAAAUGCUAGCUGCAAGAAUAAAAAAUCAAUAAACAGAUCAGACACAUAACGCAUUAAAAUACUAAUGUUAUAAAAGAAAAUAAAUAAUGACAUACAAGCAUAUUUUAGCAAAUUUACGAAUUAAAGUUACUCUUCAGUUGAGAUAUUUUUCGACCUGAUACACAAACAUUCACACUGUAUAAUGAAUACGAUAAUUUCACUAAAUUUUUAUGUGGCAAACAAUUCUAAUUGUAUGAAAAAUAAUGAAACAAUCUGUUAUGCUGGUGGGAACAAGUAAUACAACGUAAGCUACAUGGAAAUUUUAAGAAUGCCUCUUUAUUAAAUAAUGGUGGUAUUAUCCAAAAUUCGAAAACAGGUUUCCACCACAUUGUUGUGUUUCCAUACAUUCUUUUUCUACAAUUUACAUGGUGUGUUAUAUCUAUUAAAAAAAUAAAGAAGUUGUAUUUUCACUACAAGAAUUAGAAAAUUGGGGAAAAAAAUAAAAGAAAGAAAGAAAAUGUGCAUAUAGAAGUGAUCACAUAGGGAGGCAUUAAGGAGAAGAAAUUCCAAGGUUGCUGAAAUUUUGGAAUCAGUAGAAAUGAACAUUAGCAGAAAAAAACAAACAAAAAGGGCAGAGGUGUAUGUCGUAUAUCGGAUGGAGCAAAGUGAAUACAACAAUGUAUCUUUCCAAAGAAUCUUAGCUGCAUGUCUAGGAAUUAACUACUAGCAACAGUUACAAGACAACUUCAAAUAUUUGGGUAUAGUUUUGUGUCCAACUGAAAGUCAAAAGUGUAUGACAGCAUUCUUAACAACAAAUAACCCUAUUUUGGAUAAGAAAAUAGGUGCACAACCCCUAGCGAGAGAAGUUUCAACAGCAUAAUUACAUACCAUCAAUGCUCUUGCGAGAUCAUCCCUUUUGAUAGUCAUACUCAUAUCUUCAUCUUUUUGCUGGAAAACACAAGAAAGAGAACCAAAUAUCAUAAAUCAAAGCCUCUUAUCGGUACAUAUUCCAAUAGGUUUCAUACACACACAGUAUUAUACUUUCAGCACUACUCUAUGAGCAUAUAGCUGCUUCCUUUUAAAAUUCUGUUCAUAUUUAACAAGAGAGCACUGGCUAGAACAUUGGGCAAUAACAAAAUUCCAGCUUUCAUAGGGUUUGAAAAUAAGAACAAUAUUAAUAACAGUGAUGCAUGUAUUUAAAAUUAGAAAGAAAAGGAAUACACAUCAAAACAUGAACCUUCGUUUAAAUAAAGUUCGUCACAUUUAGGGCAUUUACUUUGUCCAAACAUUAUCUAAAUUAAAAUAAUGAUCUCAGGGCAAACAGAAGAGCACCAAUUUAGCUAAUUAUUUUUAAUAAGUUGAUUAAAAAAACAUUAUUACUGACAUUUGAUUCAGAGGCCCAGAAAGAAAUUUCACGUGUUAUUCAAAAGUUCCGAAGAAAAUUGUAUUGACAGUUUAAAUUUUAUCAGAUAUAUAUUGAAGUUUUCCACAGUCAUUUGAAUUGUACAUGACAACUCAUUAAUAUAGCAGAGUAGAUGGUCAUGCAUAAAACUUACAUGAGUGAAAUGAAUGGGAAAAUAACAGCCCAAAAUCUCAAAAAGUUCGUGAGCAAAUCCAGCAAGGGCAUCAGAUGGAUCAGGGAAUAGUCGCGAUAGAACCUCAAUAAUGUGAAAUGUUAACAUCAAACAGUGAGGAUCCUUUUCUCCGUCAACAGAUUCACAGAUUCCAUAUAUAAGGGUAUCACCCUGGACCAUAAAUGAGCAAUCAGAAUAUUAAUAACAGUAAAAAGAAAAGAUAAAAGUGAAAAUUGAGACGUUGCUUUGAAAUUGUGGAUGGAAGCAUAGACGCUGGUAGUUAUGACACAAAGACAAAAGGGAGCGAGAAAAUCAGAACAGUUUCACAUUUUCUUUUAUAAAACUGAAAUUCUAUGUUUUCUCAUUCUCCUUUCCUUGUCCAAAGCAUCAAAAUUGUGUCAUAUUACCAUGCUCUUUUCUUGCAUAUCACAUAAUUAGAACAGUUUCAUUAUUUCCAAUCAUAAACCUUCCUUUGACGUUAAUAAAAAUUUAAAGAACUGUAACUACAAUAAUAAGCAUAAUUGACUUUUUGGUGAUAUACAGUGAUCUAGAAAUUAAAAUACAUAACCCUCUUGCUUUUUUUUUUCCUGGUUAGUCUUAAUAGAGAUUGCAUCAAUCACUUCCUUUAUUCUUCAUUAAACUCAUUACAUUAUAUGACUUUAACAUAAAAAAAUAAUACAUUAAAAAGACACAAGAAAAUCAGUCCAAUAAAGUAUGAACUGAAGAAACAAGAACUGAAAACAUACAAGUGAAGCAACAGCAUUGGGGUAGCGUUCUAGCAGGCAUUCCAUAAGUUCAAAGCUAAGCUGCAAAACAAUCCAUUUAAAAGUUAAAAUGAAAUUGCUAAAACUGAAAAUAUAUAUUAUAUGAUAAUAUGGCAAAUAACUAUUUCGAGCAAAGCACUCAGAUAAAGGUAUGCAUAUGAUCAUUUAUUAUAGGAAUAACAGAUUAUCUUUACCUUCCGUUCAUAUUGGCCAAGAGACUGUACUUGUAGGUUCUGUAAAUAGGACUCUGCAACUGCUUUUGCAUCACUUCCACUGACCAUACCACCACUGCUUUUCCUUCUCAUCAGGGCCAAACAGCCAACAAGCGCUCCCCGUAAAGCUCUCCAGUCUGCCUGAUGUGGUAAAAUUAUCAUCAAUCUAAUUCUAAAAUUAGAAUGUAAUACAUAACAUAGAGAUUAUGAACAAAGCAAUAAAGGAAGCCCAGUUCUGCUUGGUGGCACCAAACUGUGACUAACUUAUGGAAAGUACUAAAGGUAAAGAAAUAAAUUUCAGAUUUAUUUAUGGAGCUAUCAUCCAGAUAUAGAAUGGUUAAAACUCUUAAUUGCCAAGCAGAAGUUUUAAUAAGAUGCAAAAAAAUAAACAAGAAAACCUUUCAAAUAAAGUAAAAUGUUGAUUCAAAAUCAUGUAAAAUGUGUCAUCAUUUGUAUUAAUUAAAACUAUAGUGUUUAUUGUAAAUGUAAGACUCACCAAUCUGUCCGUGAAAAAUCCUAUCAAGCUACGAAUAGUAGCAUCAUCCAAUGGCUUUGAUGCAAGGCGCACAAGAACUUCUCCAAGAAGGAGGAUGCCUGGAAAAGACACCAUGUAACAAGAAGCUUAAUAAUCAUUUAUUUAUGGUUCCAAACAAAAUCUAAAUGUAUAUAAAAGAAUUGGAUAAAAAAUAAGGUAACUUACCAAUAAGGCUACAGGCAUCAAGUUAUAGAUUAAGCAAUUUAAUGAGCAUGAAAUCCAGAAAUUCUCCAAAAAAACCAACAUAACAAAAUCAUACUGACAACAAGCUGAAUCUUAGUACCUCUUGCACGAAUAAUGUUGUCCACGGUGGUCAAAUAUCCUUCCAUCUCUCUAACCUUUAAAUGGAAAUGAAAGAAGAAAGUAAGCAAUAAAUACCCAAAAGAAAUAAACGAACAAAAUAAAAUUAAAUACAUAAUAAAUAAGUCAAGUAAAAGACCCAAAAAAAAAAAAAGUAAAAGCAAUUUUUCUGCAACCUGAGUUCAACUGAAGCAUACCAGUGUUUCAAUUGUUAACUGAUUAUUCUUCAACAAUGAAGCAAUGGCCUCCAAACUUGCAGCCUAUAUAUAGCACAUAUAAACAUAAAAAUUCAAAUAUAUUCGAAUUAAUAUAUCAGAGACUUAGGAGCUUAAAAUAUUAAAUUUAGUGAAACGAGAUCAGUUUUUAACCAAUAAUUAUGCUCAGUAAGAUAAAUUGUGUUGAAAUCAAUAAAAAAUUUAAAGAAAUUGAGAGAACGGAGAGUGAACCUGCUGAGUCGGAGAACGAGACGAAUCAACAAACGAUUCAAUGUACUGACUGAGUUGACUCGGCUCCGCCAUUGUUUUUAGCGAAUUUUCAGUAUUAGGGUUUUAGAACUGAAAGAAAAGACAGAGAGCGAAGAGGGGUUUAGAGUAGAAAUUGUUAUUUGUUGUGACCCCAAUAUUCCAUUAAGCAAAUUGUUUUUGUAUUUUAGUUUUCUCUUUUGGAAAACUGCAUAAAUAGUGACUAAAUUAUAAAAAAUUUCAUUUUAAGUACUUAAAUAAAAAAUUUCAACCAUUUUAAACACUUCUCUUAAAAUCACAAACUUUAUACUCAUGCUGCAGUUAAAAAAUUUGAUAUAAUAAUAAAUUUAGUUCUCAAUUUUUAUAUAUUAUAUUAAUUUAGUUAUAAUUUUAAAAAAUUAAUCCUCAAAAUUUAUAAAUAUUCUCAAUUGAUCCUAAUUUUAAAAAAUUUUAAAAAAUUUAUAAAAUAAAUACUUUUAAAAUAUAUAUAAUAAAUUAAAAUUUUAUAUUAAUAUUAAAUAAAUAUAAUUAUAUUAAUAUAAAUAAAAUUAAAAUCCUCCCUAAAAAAAUCAUCAGCUUUAUUUUUUUAAAAAAAUCAGUACUUUUUUGCUAUAUCUGUAAACAUAUUUUAAAUCUUAUUACAAAAAAUAAAAUUUAAAACUUCUAAAAUAUUUGAAAAAAAAAUCAUAUAUUUUGUCAAACAAACCCAAAUAAAUUAGAUUUUAAAUAAAAAUAACUUUGCAUGGGUUUACUACACCUUAGGAUUUUAACAUUAAAUAAAUAGUAUUUAUGAUUAAAAUUUUAAGAUUUUCGAAAUUUUUAUAAAUAUUUUAUUAUUCACUUUAUUUUUAGUUUUAUUUUAUUUUAAAUUUUUACUUUUAAAAUUUAUAUUGCAAUGUCUUAUUUUUUUUAUAAAAAAUUAUUUUAAAUUUUGAUUAUAUAAAAUACCUAUCAUUAAAUAAUUUUAAUAAUAAAAGAAUUUGAUUGAUAUAAUUUUAAUAAAUUAAAGAUGUAAUUAAAAUAUUUUAAAAUUUAAAGAUUAAUUUACAAUAAAAAUCAUAAUUUGGAAAUGUUGGGUAAAAAAUAUGCAUGAUGCUUCCAUAACUCCUAGUCUUAUGUAUAAUAAUACGAUGAACAAAAAUCAGCACAUAAGAUAUGUAUAUUUUAGGUGGUAUUUAGUUGGUAAAAUUCUGAAAAAAAAAAGAAAAAGAAAAAACAAUAACACGUAACAAUGAUUUAAGGAACAAAAAAUCAGCAAAACACCACCACUUACAUAUAAACAAUGACAGCAUUUUGAUGACAUAAGGACACUGUUAUCAUCAUCUUCUCAAACUGUAUAUGGGAAUUCUACCAUCAAUCAUCAUCACAUGAGGCCUCAUCCAACAUGUCCAGAAACCCUUUCCUGGCCGUCCGUUGAAUCGCCGAUGCGUUAUAACGAAGCCCAAAUGUUGACACUGCUUCGAACUUCGUCCAUAACUCUUUCUUUAAGGUACUCUCACCGGCACGUUUGCCUGUUCGUACCGUGCUCUCCGGUUCAUUCCACAUCGGAGUGUUUUCCACGAGUGCCGUGUUGUUGCGGGUAUUUUCUGCAGAAAACAUGGCAAUUUUUUAUUUGACUUACUAAGGAAAAAACAUCAAUACACAACAUACAUAGAUGGUAAAAGUACCGUGAAGGCUUUUGUAUUAGGACUCCGAUUGCAUUUUGACAAUAAUUAAUUUGCUUAUUUUUUGAGUAAAAAAGAUAAGAUGCAGUCUGACUCUAAUAUAAAGGCCUUCAUACUUUUAUCUAUACCAAUAUAUGACAUUCAACCCCGAGUUCAAGUAACAUAUAAGGGAAGAUACCUUGGUUAAUAAUCUUGUUUUGUUGGUUUAUUGCACUAGGAAGGUUGUGAUCAGUGGCAACAUUGUGCAGGGAUUUCUCAUCUGGUGGUUCUAACAAAAUGCAACUUUUAGGAGGCGAGAAUAGCCACAUCGGUGAGGAGUCAAGUUCUUUCUUCUCAAAUUCGGAUUUGAGAGUUCGUUGUAUGCCUAGUAGUUCGGGGUACUUCGAUGUUAAAUCCUCGGAAGCUUCACUGCCCGAGGAAUCAGAUAACUCACCAUUGUUGAUUCCGCGGGGAAACGGGGUAGACUUGCGAACUCUGUCAUUGUCUCGUGGCAAGGACUCGUGAAUCGGUUCAAGUAACACGCAGGAUUUAGGCGGCGACAUUUUUAAGCAUGGAGUCGUCAUGACAAGCAUGGAAUGUUCGGUGUUCGAAAAUGCAGCCGAAGAAACAACCACUGAAUGAGAAGGCUUAAUUGGAGUUUGGUUUAUAGCAACACCUUCAAGCAAAUCAUCAUUUUCAUCCUCAUGAAAGUUGAUAAAAGGUAACUCAACCAUCGAUUUCGAAGUAACCCUUUGGAAUACCGAUUUAGACGAAUCACGCAUCUUGGAAGACAAUGCUUUCGACAUCGGAAGAGGCGUAAGCAAAAACAGCUGCCGGCCUCUCUCGACAUUACAUUCGGCAGCAGCACGCCAAGACACGAGUGGAGAAGGCGAGAUUAACGAGUCCAAUGUAGAUUCUUCUUCCGGAUUCCCAACAUCAAAGCAUUCAUUUUCGUUUACAUUAACAUUAACAAAAGGAACAACUUCAGUUCCCAAACAUUCUCCGGACUUAUCUUCGCAUUCGACACCUGAAGGACUCGAAAGAGCCUUCUGAAAUCUGGGAACCCAUGGCUGCAAUUGUAGAAACACAACCAUCCAAGUUAAAUCUGUAACAAAUACAUUGAAAUUUAAGUGAUAAAUAUAUAGUUUAGAUAAUAAACCUAAAAAAGGAUUAACCUUUAAAGAAGAAAGCAUUCCGGAGAUGACGUUGGCGAAAGAUUCAAUUUCUUUUGUCUCCAGUUUUGUUGCCUUAAGCUUAAAAGCUUGCGCAACAAGUUCAUCAAUCUGCCAUGUCAUAGCAUAAAUUGGUGAAUAUCAAGUGCAAAAGCACUAAAAGAACUCAUAUUUUAAGAAAGAGGGAGAAUAAUUAGGCAAUUAGAUCCCAAUACUAUUACCCUUAUUCUAAAUUGGUCCCAAACUUCAAAUACUAUAUCCUCAAACUAAAAUUGUUAAUUGAAGUGUUAAAUGAUACAUCAAAUCUUAUACAACAAAAUCUAAAAUGAAAAUUUAAAAAAAAUGAAUAUUGUUAAAAUAGAUGAUGUAAAAGUCCUGGUUUUUAAGUUUCCAAAAUUUUUAUAUUGCUCACCCUCUUUUUUUAUUUUUACUUUAUUUUUAAUUUUUACUUUUAAAAGUCAUGCUAUAAUAUUUUAUUUUUAAAAAAAAUCAUUUUGAAGUUUAAGGAUCAAUUAACAGUAAAAGUCAUAAUUUAUGAUUUUCUCGUGCAAUUAACUCUUACAAUAUCAAAAAAUCUAUCCAAUUAAGAAAAAAAACAAGAACUACAAAAUGAAAAAGAAAAAGCUUAUAUAAAAAUUGAGCAUGUUAGGCAUAUCUUCUCAGCAGCCAAACACAAGCUAAACCCUAACCAAGUAGAUUAUAAUCAAAAUUUGGUAGCUUACAAGCAUAAAAUGGUGAAUAUCAGGUUCAAAAUUACUCAAGCAACUCAUAUUUUAGGGGGAAAAAGAAUUCAGCAAUUAGAUUCCAAAAUCAACGAAAUCAAAUGAAAAAGAAAAUGCUUAUAAACUAGGAUAUGUUAGGCAUAUUUUCUUAGCAACCAAACAGAUGAUAAACUCUAACCAAUAGCAUUUUAAUAAAAAUUUGGUAGCUUCUAUCCUUAAAUUGGUUAAUAUCAAGCACAAUACAAAAUUACUAAAACAACUCAGAUUUUAGGGGAAAAGAAUAAUUCAUCAAUUAUAUCUAUCAAACACAAAAAAAAAAAAGAGAAAAACAUAAUUAAAGAAGAAAAAAAGGAAGUAAUAAAAUGAAAAUGAAAAAUCUUACUUAAACUCGAAUAUAUCUCAGCCAUAUUUUCUUAGCAACCAAACAGAAUAUAAACCUUAAACAAAUGCAUUUGAUACCUUCCAAGCAUAAAUUGCUGAAUAUCAAGCUAAGUACUAAUUUUCUUAAAUAACUUAUAUUUUAGGGGAAAAAUAAUUCAGCAAUUAGAUUCCAAAAUCAAAGAAAUCUAUCAAACACAAAAACAUAAUUAAAGGAAAAAAAAAAACAAGUAAUAAAUUGAAAAAGAAAAAUCUUAUAUAAACUCGGAUAUAUGUUAGCCAUACUUUCUUAGCAACCAAACAGACGAUAAACCUUAACCAAAUAUAUUUAAACAAAAUCUGGUAGUUCUCAAGCAUAAAGUGGUGAAUAUCAAGCUAAGUACUAAACUACUCAAGUAACUAACAUUUUAGGGGACAAAAAUUAAUUCAGCAAUUAGAUUACAAAAUCAAAGAAAUCUAUCAAACAAAAAACCAAGAAGUAAUAAAAUGAAAAAGAAAAACCUUAUAUAAACUGGAAUACAUGUUUAAGCAUACUUUCUUAGCAACCAAACAGAAGCUAAACCUUAACCAAACACAUUAAAUAAAAAAUAAGCGAAAAGAAAAAGAAACUAAACCUUGAGUUUGUCAUACCUGGCGAAGGACAGAAGAAAGAUCGGAUUGAAGGAGAAGAAGGCGAUCGAGGGAAGCGUGGUUUCGAUUAUUAUUAUCAUCUUUGUCGAUCAAUUUCUUCUUCGGAAACUCUGAUUUGGACAAAAAAUUCUUUGUGCUAUUAUUGUUUGAUAAAUCUCUCAGCGGCUUCCGUGUUGAUUUCGCCUUUGAUUUCGAUCUUUGCAUUUUUUUUUCUCGGGAAAAUUUUCUUUUUUCCUCUCUUUUUUUUUUUUUUUCUCUAGAUUUUGUGCCGUUUGGUUUUUUGAAUUUCUGGUCAGGCUCUCUGCAAGGCGGGCUGUCUGUCUUAUUUUUAUUCUCAUUUAUUUAUUUAUUCAUUCAUUAUAUUUGGACCCAAAUGUUGAGAGGUGAUGGGCUUGGUUUGUUUUUUUAAAAGGAUAAAACACUCUCAAUUUUACAUUUUUUUUAAUUUGUAAUUUAAAUUAAUUUUUUUCCACAUUAAUUCUAGAAUUUAUUUUUUAAAAUUUAAUCUUUAAAAUUAGUUCCUGUAAUAGUAUGAUUACAUGGUCCUCUAAGAUUAUAUCUCGUUAUUACUCGAAAAUUUAAAAAAAAUUUAUAUAAAUCAAAAAAUACUAAAAAUUUUAUAUUUAAAAAAAGAAAGCAUAAUAACUUAUAUGGCCUUUUAACUUUAUAAAAAAUUUAUUUUAACCCUCUAUUUAAUUUUUCGUUUCUUUUAGCUAUUAAACUUACGUUAUUUGUCAAAUCAUUUCAAAAUGAAUGGAAAAAUUAAUAUUUUUUAACUUAACUGACAUGACAUACAUUAGCAAUUAAUUAAUAUUUUAAAUUUUCAAAAAUUAAAAAAAUGAUAAAAAUAUUUUUAAAAAAUAUUAAACUUAUUAUAAAACUAUAAAAAUAUAAAAAAAUGUUUUUUAAGUUUUUAAAAAUUAAUUAAUUUAAUAGGCAUUAAUUUUUCCAUCCAUUUUUGAGCAAUUUUACAAACAAUGCAAGUUCAAUGGUUAAAAGAGACGAAAAUUUAAAUGAUUUUUUUGUGAAGUUGGGAGGGUCAAAUAAGUUAUUAGGCCAAAAACAAUGCUUUAUUGCUCCUUUUUGUAUGUGUAUAUUGGAUACUCAACAACAAUAAUGCAUUCUACCGGUGAGUCGAGAAAUGAAAGGUGGGAUUAAGGUAUUUUCGACAAUCUAGCUAGCUGAGGAUGUUCAUUAUGGUAAGCACAUGGACUUGGUAGAUCGGAGUGUUACGAAGACUUCCUUAGAAAUGCUAAAAGUGCGGCAAACCGAUAUGAAGCUUAUUAAGUUAACAGUGGAGUUACCAUCUAUGAGAUGGGUAGGUUAUGCAUCAAAUUUUAAGGGAAACAUGGUAAUGCAAAAUGGGCAGUUGAACCGAGUAAAUGCAAUGAGCGAUGUACUUCUCAAACAUUUAUCUAGUGUUCUACAUUAUGAUUUACUGUUAGCUUGGUAAGAACAUAAGGAACUUUUUAGAGUUCUAAAGCGAGUAAGCCGAGGGACUUAUAAAUUGGAGUUGACAACUAUACUCAAGAUUAACCAGUGUUCAAUGUAGACAUGCCUAAUACUAUGGUGUGGAUCAAGAGGAUCAGGAUCGAGGCAAGUAAAAAUAGGGGUGAGUAAGAGUAAUAGACUCUUAUGACUGAGAUGUACAAGAGAGAAAUGCAGUUUAAGUUAGGCGACGAUGGAAAUAUAAGCCGAAGCAAAUGUUCUGAGGGGCGGAACUACUCGAUAGAAACACUAGUUGCGAAUCAGCUGAGGCAUUGAGACAAUUUCGAGACAAGUCAAACCAGUGCCAUUCCGAUGACAUGAUGAGGGUGUUACAAGAAUGGGUGGGGGAGAAUGUCACGAGAACGAAUACAUACGAAAUAUCUCAUGAAGGUUAACUGAUCAAAUGAGGCUCAUUUAAUCCACUUGAAUUGACCCAAUUCAUGAAACACAUGAAGAAGUUCAUCUAUUUGAAGCUUCGGUGACCAGUGAAAAACUCCAGCCAAUGUAAUUCGAUUUGUAUUGUUGGAUCUAGGAGAACUCAAUUAUAAAUAGAGACACUUUCACUCAGUUAUAAUACUUCAUUGAGAGCAUUUACUCAAACACUUGGCGUGUGUUUGCUUUCUUGUUCUUUUUGCUUCUCUUUUGUCUCUAAGUUACUUUUAUUUUAUUUCCGAUGCCUUAGAGAACUUCUAUCGAUGCUUUGUAAGAAUCAGUGGAUUUAAAAUCAAAAUAUUGUCUAAAAUCGCACGAACUACGAGAUUAAAGUUCUAGCCCUAUGAUACUAGUACCAUCAUAUGCAAUAAUGAUACGUGAGUCAUCAAUCUCACCCAAAAAAUUUAUAAGAUUAUAGAUGUUGAAACUCAAUCUAAAUUUACGGGAUGCUCUGUUUAAUAAAAAAAACAAUAUGAACUAACCGCACUAAAUUGUUAUUUACAAAAAAGCCAUCUUUUAUUUCACAGUUAUCAAUCUAAUUCAACAUCUUACAUAUAGUUCAAUAUCUGAAAACAAAUAAAGCUACAGUUUGGACACUCUUAGAAAAAAGUGAAUACACAUACACACAUACAUACAUAAGUAUACACAUUCUAUGAUAGUUUUGGUGUGGAUGAAGCAUGAAAAAAGAAAGGCAUCAAAUUUAAAGAUUUGAUCACCUUGGUAGAGGAAUUAUGUCAGAAUCACAAUUCAAUGAUGCGAUGGCCAUCAUGUCUCUCGAUUCAUCUUCAUCGACUCCCCUUGUUCGGUUUAUCUCGGCUACCAAACACUCACUUAAUUCGGUCACGACGUGGUUCAUAGUUGGCCUUUUUGUGGAAGCCGGAGAUAAACAAGCCAUUGCCACUUCGAUUGCUCUCCAUACAGAAUUUAUCUCGAAAUCUCCUUUCAACCUCGAAUCCACGAUGUUCUCAAUGUCUCCAUUCGACAACAUCGAACUGACCCAACGACUUAUGUGAGUAGGCUCAUCUAUGGUUCUUGCUAUUACCGGCCUGUUCGUAAUGAUUUCAAGAAGAACUACCCCAAAGCUAUAAACAUCACUUUUCUCGGUCAACCUGUUUGUAGUAAAAUACCUGCAUUCCCAAGCAUCGAAACCAACAAAUUUAUUGAAUUUCAAACAGAAAAUGAAUUGAAAUUAACGAUCAUCUCAAGAUAAGGUGUACGUACUCGGGAUCAAGGUAUCCAGGGGUACCGGCAACGACAGUGGAGACAUGAGAGCCACCUUCAAAGCUUUUCGAUAACCCAAAAUCGGAUAGCUUAGCUUGCAAGUUAUCAGUUAAUAAGAUGUUGCUAGACUUCACAUCUCUAUGGAUUAUAGGUGGUUUGCAACCAUGGUGUAAAUACUCCAACCCUGCAUUUUCGUUCGUUUUUGGGUACAUCAGUCAAUGAAAUUAACCAAAAAAAAUGAACUAUUAUCGGUGAACUCGGGCUAACCUUGUGCUGCCUCUAGUGCUAUUCCGAGUCUUCCUUCCCAGUUCAAGACACUGAUACUACUAUCUGAAAACCGAAAGAAUCUCAUAUAAUAUACUGAUAUAUGAAAUCUGAUUAAUCAAUGAAAAUAUAGGGUAUUUGAUUGAAUGAUUGAAACCUGAGAGAUACUCUGCUAAGUUUCCUUUGGCCAUGAACUCGUAAAUUAGCCCUGUUUCGGUGCCAUCAUCGCAAUAUCCAAUAAGGGCGGUCAAAUUUCUAUGAUGAACUCUCAAAAGAAGCUCCACCUACAUAUAACCAUAGAUUUAAAACCCAAAUUCUCAAUGAGUUCAAAUAUCAGUAUUAGUUGGUCUGUCAUCGGAUUAUACCUCAGCUUCAAAUUGCUUAUACCCUUGGAAAGAUGUUUUCGAUAACAUCUUAACUGCUACUUGAUUGUCAUCCAAGAAACCAUGGUAAACUGUUCCGAAUCCUCCUUUUCCAAUAACUUUUUCGAAGUUGUUCGUGAUCCUUUGGAUAUCAGAGUAUGUAAAUUGUCGAUUCUUUAACUCUUGGUAUGGUUUUCGAGGCGUUACAACCAGUUUCCCUGCCAAUGUUAACAUCAAAACAAGUUCAAUAGGGUCGAUUUUAUGCUACUUAAGUCCGUGGUAUGUAAGUUUCGUUCUACUCUACCAGAUGUUUUUGUCCGUUUAAACCACCAUAAGAGAGCUGAAACAAUUAUGACAAUAGACAGCACCGAUGCGACCGAUGCUACUAUUGUAACCACUACACUGUUCUCCGACGUUUUUGUCCCUGUGGUACAUGAUUCCCAUGUGCACGGAAUUUGAUUUCCUUCCAAACUAAUCAAUUAAAUUGACAAAAGUGAAAUGAAGUAAGAUUUGGAGAAAAAGGCUAAUCCGAUCCCAAUUUCUAGAUAUUCACAAUCAUAGAUCAAAGAAAGCAAAGCAUACUUCAAUUGCAGAAAACGUCUGUUUAUCCUAUCGAUUAGUCCCGCAGGAACCGAACCAUUCAAUGCAUUUCCUUGCAAGUUUCUAAAAAAAAAAAAAAAGUUAAAAACUUCCUUAAAUUAUUAUUCAGGAGUUGAUUUUUUUAGGCUAAUUCGUGAGUUAACUUACAUCAGAGUCAAAAAUUGCAGUCGAGUUAGAAACUCAGGCACUCCUCCUGUCAAGUUAUUGUUCGAUAGGUCCCUGACAUCGAUAUCAAAACCAGUAACAUUGUUAUUUCUACACCAUCAUCCUCACAUAGGGCUAUAAUUAUUUUAUUUCGUAUGAGAUGGAGACACUUACAAAUACUGUAAUUGAGUGAGAUUCCCGAUAUACGGCGAUAUCUCUCAACUUAAACCACUAGAGGACAGAUUCCUGAUUUCAUGAACAAUAGCUUCAUCAACAUGAUUAUGAAAUCAUUUAAUGAAAAUUAGUAGCUAACUUGCACUCCAAGACAUACACUUACAAAGAUAUGAUCCUAGGCGGAUCUGAAUCCUCGUAGCUGCAAUCAAGGCCUUCCCAUGAAUAUGUUCUUGGAGCACAAGGAUCACCUUCCCAGUUUUUCUUCAAUCCAUACAUCGAUUUUAUAUUCAUCAUCGCAUUAACUACAAAAGACACACAUGUAAGAAUCGGAAAAUCAAGACCAAUUGACCAAAGAAAAUCAUUCAUUAGUUUUCGAGACAACCUACCCUCUCUUUCAACCGUUUGUGAUUCAACAAGUUCCUUCACCUUAUAAGCCUCAAAGGCAUUUAUGAUGGGCGGAUGAGUCGAACUUCUGGUACUUUCCAUCGAAAACUGGCCUCCUUUUACGGAUCGUGAGCUUUGGGUCGUGUUUCCUCGCAAAUACGUGGGACUAAAACGUCCAUACCAGAGAUUAUCAUUAAGAUAGAUGUUGAACUCUCUGGUCUGGUUAGCUUGUAGCUCUUCAAGUUCCACAACGUGCAUGUAGAAAUAAAAUUCAACAUCAGGAUCGGAAUCCCGAACCGUAAAAUUCAAAGUUUGGCUACCGUUCAUCGGUAUGCUAGCAGUCAUCAUGGCCACCAAUGGUGGAUCAAAAGGACUGUUACGUAUCAAGGAGGAAGAGCUAUUUAUUGUUGCCAAAUCAUUUCUUCUAUAAGGUUGCCAUACACGAUCAUAAAUAUCUUCAGGAAACCUAAGAUAAACAUUACAGACAUAACGAAUGCUAUUACAGUUAAUAUACUAUGAAAAUCGAUAGCGAAAAGAACAGAAACUUACCGGAAACUCGAAUUUAAUGAUGAACCAAUAUCGAUCCUUAAGAAAAACUCCAAAGCUUGUGUUUCGGAAUCAGUGUUAUAAGUUAAAUUACUCAAAAGCCUUGACUCUAAAACAGAUAUAAAAGGUAUCCCUUUCCCAGUAUUAACAACACAAACAUGAAGAUACCUUGCUUUGACAACAUGAAUGAUUUCCUUAACAACAACACUCGUUGAAUUCUCAAACACCAUUGAAGCCCACAGAUUAGGUCCUAAAUACAAAUCAAAUUCUGGGUUUUCAUCCUUUUCAUCAUAGUUACCAUAAUGAAACUUGCUCUGAUCAAAUAUUUUUCUCCUUUUGUGAGGUUCAGCUGGUAGCAAUGUCGAACACCUUGUGGGAAACUUCUAAGAUUUUCAAGAAACUGUUGUUGAAUGCUUGAAUUGAAUCGAGAUAAACUAUGGGUUGUUCCAGUUUGAAUGUAUGGUUCAUCUGAAGUGUAGUUCAUGCCAGUGAUGGAAUCAAUGUAGCUUGAACCUGCUGGUAAUCCACAAUCUAAGCUGAUGAACCCUAAAAGAACCAUGGGGAAGAGCUUGAUUAGCUGUUUUGUUUAGUUUUUCUUAAAGAAAAAAAAGAAGAAGAAUUGGAUAGCCAACCUGUUUGAUUUUGUGCAUGAACAAGAGCUGCUAGAGUAAAGCUGAUGAACAAUAUUAUGAAAUAAUGCUUUGUCUUCACCAUCUUUUCUUUUUUGUUCUUCUUCGCUCUGAAUUUUCGUGGUUGAGAGCAAAGAAAUAGUUACCUAUAUUAUCUUAGUUCACAAACAAUAUUAAUUAAAAAACAUGUUUUUUCUAAGAUACUAUUUUGUUUGUUGAAUCUUACUCUCUCUUUUUUUAUCUAAAAUGGUAUUUAUACUAUUUAUUUCAUAUAAUUUUAUCCUGAAAUAUUAUAUCAAUCAAUAAACCUUAGAACGUUGCAUGUUUUUAUUAAAAGAUGUAUAAUUUUUUGAUAAAAUAAAACGUAAUAAAUAAUUUUAAUAUUUUUAAUUAAAAAAAAACUUCAUUUACUUAAGUGUAAAAAUCGGUAUAAUUUAAAAGAGAAUUUUAUAGUUAGUUAAUCUUAAAGUAUGUAGGCAGUUCAUCUACUUAAAAGUCAAAAUUGCUAUACAAGAAAGAUUGGGUCAGUUAAUUAAACCGGUUCAAAGUGAAAAUAAAAUUUUAAAAAAAUCAUGAAACCCGAUUUAAAUUUUUUUAAAUAUGAAAAGUGAUGAAAUUUUUAAUAUUUAAAUUUAUAUUAAAACUUAAAUCAUUUUAUUAAAUAUUUAUUAUAUUUAAUAUUUAAUUUUUUUUAAAAUACGAUGAAUCGAUUAAACUGGUUAAAUAGAUAAUUAAAAUGUUUUCAGUCAUUUUUUUAAAUAAUUAUAUAUUUUUUGAGGGUUUUAAAUAAUUAUAUUUAGACUAUAUUUUGUACCAGGAAAAAGAAAAGACUGCCAAUUUAUAAUAAUUUUUAUUUGGACUUUUUGUUGAGUUUUGAAUUUUAAAUUUUGAUUGUAAUUAAAAAAAGAAAUUGCAUUGACAAAGUAAAAGGUGAAAUGAUGUCCUGAUUGUUACUAUAUUAAUAUAGAACUAAGAUCAUGAAAUAUUCUUUAAAAUUAAAUAAUGAAAUAUUAUAAAUUUUAAGAUUUUCCAAAAGUUGAACAAGUACUUAGAUUAAGAUUCAUCAAAUGAUUUUGAUGUGACUAAAUAGCAAAUUAAUUCUUUCUGUUAAAAAUUUCCUCUAUUUUUACCAUUAAAAAUUGGUUUGGUUAAUAAAAUAACCAAAUAGUGUCACAUGUAUUUUAUACUAACAUACAGUGACCAAUUUUUAACGGUUCAAAUAGAUGUAAUUUUUAACAAAAUAACUAAUUUAUUAUUUAAUCUAAUGUAUAAGGACUAUUUUGUCUUUUUCUUAGUAAAGGGAGAAAAUGCAAUAUAACUUUUAGUGCAAGUGCCUCCCUGAUACUUUUACCAAUAUAUUUAUAGAAAUUUAAUAUAAAUAUUAAUUGAGGCUUUAAUUGUAUAGUAAAGUAUAAAUGUUUAAGACUAUAAAAGCUUGGGUUCAAAAUAUAUUUUAAUUUGGUUAAACUAUAAAAAUAGUCAUUUUUGUUUGCCUCGGAUUAUAUUUUAGUCAAUUAUAUUUAAAAUGUUACGUUUUAGUGACUUAUGUAUCAUUUUGUUAAGAAGUGGUCACUCUAUUGUUAAACUUUGUUACCUCCCUAACAGCAGUCCUACGUGGCAAUCCAAAUGGGUUUUAAAUGCUAACUUGGAUGUCAUACGUGGCAAUCCAAAUUUAAUUUAUUUAAUUAAAAACCUAUUUUCAUCCUAACAACUAGGCAUACAAGUUAGCAUUUAAAACUCAUUUGGACUGCCACGUAAGACUGUCGUUAGGGAGGUAACAAAGUUUAACAAUAGAGUGACCACUUCUUAACAAAAUGAUACAUAAGUCACUAAAACGUAACAUUUCAAAUAUAAUUGACUAAAAUGUAAUCCGAGGCAAACAAAAAUGACUAUUUUUAUAGUUUACCCUCUUAAUUUUUAUGAAUAUUUUACUAUUUUCUAUAUAAAAGAAAUAAAAUGACAAAAACACUCUUAAAGUAAUAUAAUUUACUUUCAAAAAUAAAGAUAUUUUCGUCAUUUCCACUAAAUUGGUGCUCCAUUAAAACUUUAACCUUUUAACAUCAAACUUUGUAAAGGAUUUAAUAUUAACAAAGAUAAAAAAAAAAAAAUUAGACACGUAUCACCCUUGUAUAAAAUAAUUAUUCAUUAAUAAAUAAAAAUAUGUGAUGAUAAUGAUAUUUAUAAUUUUAAAAAAUUCUCUAUACCAAAAAUUAAAUUUGUAAUAAUAAAUUAUGAAAGUAUAGAAAACAAAAUUAAGGAGAUGGAAAUAAAUUUGGAUUAAAUUAAUACAUCAUGGAAUUAAUUAACACUUGCAACUUAGAGAUUUCCAAGAUUUCUAAAUAUAUUUUCAAAAUUGACUAAUUUUGUUAAUUAAAAAACUCAAGAAUGUCAACUUUACAUAUGUCAAUAAAAUAAAAUUGAUUGUUACUUUUAAUAGUGUUUGGAAUAAGCUUUUGAAUUGGGUUAAAUUAUUUUUUAGGUUAUGAAUUUAGUAAUUAUUUUUAUAUUGGGGUUUAAGUAAAAAAUCGUCUAAGCUCCAAUAUGAAAAUAAUUGCCAAGUUCAGGCUUUAAUAUGGAAAUAAUUGUGAAGUUUAGGGUUCGACUUGGACAAAAAAAUAGUUCAAGUCCAAAUGUGGGAAUAGUUGCUUAGUUCAGCUCUAAUAUAAGAACAAUUGUCAAGUUUAAGACCUAAUAUAGGAAUAGUUGUCAAAUUCAAACCUCAAAUCGUGAUUUAAUCCUAUUGAAUUUCUACAACUUUAAACAUGCUUUAAUAAUUUCAAAUAAUACCAAUUUUGCUAAAGAAUGAUUAAAAUAUACUAUAAGUCCUUAUAUUUAUCAAAAUUUUAAAAAUUAAAAAAUUAAAUUCUUGAAAAUAAAAAUAUAAGGGAUAAGUUUUAAAUUUUCAAAGAAUACAUGAACUUAUGACAAAAUUUAACCAUUAAAGUCUUUUGAAGGACUCAAGUGUGUAGGUGGCGGACAGGAACUCUUUAGUGAAUAUAUGUAGUAUCAAAAUGUGCUUGUUUUCGCUUAGCUGCAUGUGUUUUUUUUUCUUAGCAACCAAACAGAAGAGAAACCCUAACCAAAUAUAUUUAGGAUAAACUACACUUAAGGUCAUUGACUAUUAGUAAAUUUAUAAUUUGGUUACUCAACUUCAAAAAGUUACAAAAUGAUCACUAAACUAUUUGAAAGUUUUAAUUUAAGUCACUAGGUUGUUGAAAUCACUGUUGUAUUGUCUUAUUUGUUUGCACCGCUUACACUAAUUGAAAGCUUUCUUUCUACUCCUCUUCUAUAAUUCAAUUUAUUUUCAUGAAAUAACUUUGAAUGUUUCAAGUCUACAAACCAAAAUCCAAACAGGUUUCUUCUUUGAUCUAAAACAUUGAUCGCCAAAUCAACUUGGAUAUAAAAUAUGUUCUUCUACUCGCCAAUGCGUACUAAACCAUUGUACUGAUCAUCAAACCAUCGCUUAGAGUUUGCUAGCCAGACUUUUUUUCAAAGAAAACUUAACAACUAGUGACUUGAAUAAAAACUUUCUAAUAGUUCAGUGACUUGAAUGAAAAUUUUCUAGUUCAAUGACCAUUUUGUAACCUUUUGAAGUGGAGUGACCAAAUCAUAAACUUACUAAUAAUUUAGUAAUCUUAGAUGCAAUUUAUCCAUAUAUUUAAUCAAAUUUUGGUAGCUUCCAAGCAUAAAUCGGUGAUUAUCAAGUUAAGUACAAAAUUAAUAAAACAACUCAUAUUUUAGGAGAAAAGAGUAAUUCGGCACUUUUUUUAUUAAAAAUAUCAAAGAAAUUUAUCUAAUCCAAAAAAUUAAUUAAAGAGAAAACAAUAAAUAAUGAGGUGAAAGGCAAUUUUUUUUCUUGGAGAAUAUUAACAAUGCCUUUGAAUUCAUGUCUUUUCAACAUGUUAUAACAAUAAUAAUAACUAAAUUAAAUUUUAAUUGAAGAGAAAAAAAGAUAAAAUAAUAUUUUAAUCCUUAAACUUGAUAAAUUUUUUUGACUUGGUCCUUGAUUUUUUUUUAUCUACAUCAGUUCUAAAAUUUAUUUAUUUUUUCUAAUUUGAUCUUGAACUUGGAUUUUUCAUUAAGGUGUGAUCAUAUGUCAUUAAAGGUGUAAUCAAACCAAGCUGAGCUCGAAUAUUGUCAAGUUCGAGCUCCACUCAAAAUUUGGAGCUUGAACUUGAUCGAAUAUUUAUUUUUAAGCUUGAGCUCGGCUCGAGAUUCGAGCUCGGCUCCAUAAUUAAGCUUAGUGUUAAUAAUAUAGAUUAAGGGCAAUAAUAUAAUAUAACAAUAUAAAAAUAUGAAAAGCUCAAUAAGGCUUGUGGAUUGCUCGAGUCAAGUAUUACUAAGCUCGAAUUCGGCUCGAUUAAUAGCUUAAGCUCGAGAGGUAAUUACUAAAUCGAGUUCGAAUUUUUUUUAGUCGAACUCAAGUAGCUUGCAAUCACCAAUGUCUCAUUUAUACCCGAUGUGGUAUUCUAAAAUUGUGCCACAUUAUCACCUACAAAUUUAAAAAAUACAUAUUUUAUAAAAAAUUCAAGUGAUAUUACCCUAGUCUGACCCGGUUCGGCACAACUAUAUUAUAUUAUAAAAUUAUUAUAUUAAUUAUAUAUGUUAAAUAAUAAUUAUAUAUAUAUGUAUUUAUACAUAUAUUAAAUCUCUAACUUAAUAAUAAUUUUAAAAAAUGUAUCCAACUAAAUAACCAAAUCCAAAAUAUAAAAUUUUAAAAUUUAUAUAUAAUACAAUAAAAUAUUUAUUAUAUUUAUUUAUGUUUUUUAAUAUAAUAAAACAUUUAUUAUAUUUAUGGUAGUAUUUAUUAAGAUAAAUAUUUUUUAAUGUACUUUUAAUGUGUUAAAAUUUUUUUAUUUUAAUGCGUUUAGUGUGUUAUAUAUUUUUAUAAAUUUAUUUUUAAAUAAAAAUUAAUUUAAAAAAUUAAAUAUGAGUAGGAGAGGUCAAGUCUGAAUUUAUUAUUUUAAUACUAACCUAGGUUUGGACAAAAAAAAAUAAAUUCAUUUUUCAAAUUAAACCGAAUUCGAACUUAAAAAAAAAAUCAUCUAAAUACUUAUAUGAGCCUGGAUAUCACCACCUCUACGUCGAACCUAGACGCAAAGCCCAUCCAAAUUACCUUCUACAGUGUUCAAAACCAAAACCACAACCACAUUCGGCGCGUGAUUUACGUUCCCACCAUUUUUUUAAAGAUAAACCGCAUAGUUUAACACAGAGAAGUAACUAAAACCUCCCAAAGCUUUUAACAAUGGCAGCCCAAGCCGACUACUUCAUCGAAACUCAACUUCCCAAUCACCAAAAACACUACGGUUCCUUCACUUUCCCUUCGAUUCUAUCUCCGAACCCUAAAUCGAGUCCUUCUUCACUCUCCGUUUUCUCCGAAGCCAUCAAAUUUCAUAAACCUUUUCUCGAUUCUUUGUUGCUCAAAUCCGGAGCUUUGCUCUUCAGGGGAUUCCCAGUGAAAACGGCAAAAGAUUUCAACGACGUCGUCGAGGCUUUCGGCUUCGAAGAGUUGCCGUACGUCGGCGGGGCAGCUCCUCGGACUAACGUCGUCGGUCGUGUUUUUACUGCAAAUGAAUCGCCGCCUGAUCAAAAGAUUCCUUUUCAUCAUGAGAUGGCUCAGGUAAUUUACUCAAAUUUGACUAAAUUAUGAAUUCAUGAUUGAAUGGUUUUGUAUUAGUAUAUUAUAUUUUUUAUACAUUAUCCAAUUUAUAUUUAUGUGAAAUUUUAAUAAAUAGGUCUAUUAUGCUGAAAUUUGAAAUUUAAUUUAUUUAAUUUAGUCCUAUUUUUAUAAUGUCAUUAAAUCACUCCUGCAAUAGAUUGUAUUUAGCUCUUCGUAAACUAGCGUGUCAUCGUUCCCUUUGGCUCACAAUACACUUUGCAUCUGCUAUCUUAGGAUAUGGAUGUCGUCCAAGAAUGGUUUGAGUGUCCAAUGGAUUGAGUAGUGCUUUUUUUCAAGGAUGCUAUCAAUCAGUUUGUCUUUCAUUUUAAAUAUGCAUGAGGAAAUGCCUGCUUUGAGGGACGUUGCUAGUGCUGCUCCAUUUCCGUGCCGAAUUCUUCCUUCGAAUGUUGACCCUGUUCUUCCAUCUUAUAUGUGUUGAAGGUCAUUGACCUUUCCCUAAUUAUUUCUCUAACUCUAUCUUUUGCUUUGGUGUUACCCCAACCAGCUUAUGCUUUCUUGAUCUGUUUAAUAUAUUCAUCUGCUUCCUUGACUACUUUGAAAGGAUUUGGAUUGGCUCCUUUGUAAAAAAACUUUGUUUCUGUGCACCCAGAUUUUCCAUAGUAUAAUCGCAAAACCUAUAAGCUCAUUUGCCGUAAAAUCUUUUCUUACUAGUGCCAGUUCCAUUAAUCCAUUCCUUAAUCGAACUUAUGUUGACCUCCCUGGUGCGAAUCUCAUACAAUGAACCAAGCCAUUCUGCUCUGGCAAAAUUGCAUUCCCAGAGCAGAUGUUUUGCGUCCAUUUGACAGAAUGUGCACUCAGUACGUAUGGAAUGUAUUCUCUUUUGAAUCUCAGUUUUGCUAUGUAGAGGUAGAGCCCCGUUAAGAAUUUUCCAAAGAAAAAUGAUCACCUUGUAUGGUAACUUGAAUGACCAUAGAAAUUGCGAUAUUUUCUUUGGGACGUUGGAGCUGUGUGUGCUAGUGCCCUUUGGUUGUAUACUAUUAAGUACCUGAAAAUAUGCUGAUCUAACCAAGAAUUUUCAUCCUGAGUGUGCUUCCAUUUUGGUUUAAUAGGACCCUCAAUCAUGGUCUUUAAAUUACUCAAUACUUGCACAUCCAAGUUAGAAAUUUCAUUCCGAAUCAAUACCUGGUUGGGUGCCUCUGUUGAGUUCAGUGUACUCCAUCUGUUGAUGUUUUGUCAGGCGAUAUUGUGCUUGAUGACCUCUUUCCCCAUCAUUAUUCUCCUUCAUGCGCAUGAAUCACCUAGUUUCUCCUGUAUUUUCAUCAAUUAUUUACUAUGUUUAUGGUCUUAUGUGAUUGCAGGUUCCUGAAUUUCCAUCAAAGUUGUUCUUCUUUUGUGAAGUUGAACCAGGCAGUGGGGGAGAAACCCCCAUAGUUCUAAGCCACAUUGUGUAUGAGAAAAUGAAAGAGAAAUACCCAGAAUUUGUUGAUCGAUUGGAGGUGCAUGGAUUGUUGUAUACCAGGGUAUUAGGUGAAGAUGAUGAUCCUUCAUCUCCCAUUGGUCGUGGCUGGAAAUCAACAUUCUUGACGUCCGACAAGGCGGUGGCCGAGGAAAGGUCAGUGAUUUCAUCAUUAUCGACUCAAUGAAGUAGCUUCGAUUUUAGUUCAAUCAAAUCCUUCUGUCGGUAAAUGCUACUAAAUCAGAUUGAUAUAAAAACAUAUUUAAAACGCAUGGAUUAUAUUUUAAAUACAACGCAGUAUAGUUUUGAAUCUUUUGAUGUAACAUGCUAAAAUAUAUAUAUCAUAUUCAAGUUGUCCAUGCAGUAGGUGUAAACAUAUUUAAAUUUUGAUUAAUGUGUUUUAAAAUGCUUUGCGUUAGAUCUGAAGUGGCAUCUAGCACUUAAGUUGACGUGUAGACUAAUGAAAGGACUUAAUUGACAUUGGUACUGAUAAGUACUCAAUUAGAAUUCAGAACAUUUUUUAAGUUUGAGAUCAAUUUAGAAUUUGGAUCAUAGUUUAAGGACAUGUGGUGUAAUCAAACCCAAUUAUUGACCCAAUUUUGAAAUUUGAUUUUCAGAAAAAAUUAUAUUACUUCUUUUUUAAGUUAAUCCAUGUUAAUGACUUAUUGAUUUUUGGUGUAGGGUUUAAGGACUUAAUUUUGUAAUUAACCCAAUUAUUGACUUAAAUGAGAAUAAAGUUGUUAAUGCAGUAAGUAUACACGUGAAUGAAAUUUGAUCAAUAUGUUUUAAACAUGCUUUUAUGAGUUGGCAUUUAAUGCGUAAGCUGACUUGUAGACUUAACAGAAGAAUUUUUUAUUGAUAUAAUACUGAUUUUUCAAGACUCAAUUAGAAUUUAGGACAUUUUUUCGUUCGGGACCAGUAUAAAAUUCGGGUCAUAGUUUAUGGACAUAUGGUGAAAUUAACCCAAUUUUAAACUUUUUGAGUGUGACCAAUUCAGACCUGAGUCAUAGUUUAGGGACGUAUAGUGUGAUUAACCCAAUUUAAAAUUACAGGCUAUAGUUCUAGGACCGUAUGGUGCAAUUAACCCAAUUAUUAAUUACAAAACUUAUCGCAGGGCUGCAAAGCUAGGAAUGAAGCUAGAGUGGCUUAGCAAUGGAGUGAAAACAGUAAUGGGACCAAUAACAGCCAUUAAGUACGACAAAUCAAGGCACCGCAAAAUCUGGUUCAACAGCAUGGUGGCAGCAUAUACGGGGUGGGAAGACGCAAGAAACGACCCAGUGAAAGCCGUCACAUUCGGGGAUGGCCAACCGUUACCGGCCGAUAUCAUCUACGAUUGCUUGAAAAUCCUUGAAGAUGAAUGUGUUUCCAUCCCUUGGAAGAAAGGAGAUGUUAUGUUGAUAGAUAAUUUGGCCACUCUUCAUUCUCGACGUUCAUUCACUCCGCCCCGACGUGUGCUAGCUUCACUUUGCAAAUAGGGUUGCAGACAUAAGUUGAACAUCCACGUGUUGGACAUAUACUUAUAUCUGACACACAUUAAUAUAAGUAUAUAAAAUUUGAACAAGUGUAAGGGCAUAAGUAUGUGUUUGAUACAGGUAUAUUCAAUAUUGUUCAUAUAUUUGGAGGAAUAUAUGUUCAUAUAUGUGUCAAAUAUGAAUCGGACAUGGGUAUUUUUAAAUAUAAAUAAUGCUUAAAAUAAUAGCAUUACCAUGGAUAAUAGACUUACAGUUUAAAUUUGUAACCCCCAAAGUCCAUAGCUUCUAAAAUGACCCAUUCAUUUUGAAAAACUGCCCUUUCCACCCAAAAGAUUGCCCAAAAAACCAAGAAAAAAAAACAAAUUCCAGUAUUUUACUAUUUAAUUUAGUAUGCACAUUAUUUAGUAGAAGUUUUCAUGAGACACGUCAGGUUAGAUUUGAUCCAAGUCAAUUAAAUUUAUAUAUAAUUGUUUGAAUGCGGUCUGAUCAGACAUGAAUUUCAAAUUUAAGCUCAUUAUUUUGAAUUUAAUAUUUUUUUAAAGGACUCAAGCCCUCUUGAAUAUCAAAUGAGCCUUCAACUUUAGACAGAUUGCACAACUCUUAAACAGGUUUAUUAGUUAGUGUUGAUACGAGUAUUCAAUAAGGGGAGAGACAAAGAGGAUAAGGUGAUAGUGCUAAGGAGGUUGGUUCACUUAAACAAACAAAGAGCCAAAAAAGUAAGGGAGUGAAGUAGAGGACACGGUGAAGACAAGGAAGGUAUAAUGCUAAGGAUAUUGCUUAGGGUUGCUGAUGGGGAAAAAGAUAAUUUUUUUAUCGUUCCUUGGAGUAUAUAUAAGAGAAUGGUCUCUUAUCCAGUAAUGCCACAUCACUGAUAGAUCCCGAAUAUGGCAAUUGUGAGGUUGGCCUAGUGGUAAAGUCACUCUACACAAGCUGUUGUCAAUUUGCUAAAAACAGGUGGCUUGGUGAAAGGUGAGAUGCAAAGAUAAUUGAUUCCUUAGUGAUCAAUCGAAUGACGUGAGACGAAGUACUACCCAUAGAUACUUCUUAAAUUUUAAGUAAUUUCUUACAGUGCCACAUGUUCAAGCUAAAUAGAAGUAAUUAUAAUUUAUUUUUCAAUUAAUAUAAAAAAUUCCCGAUUCAAAUUAAAUAAAUAAUUAAAUUUUUAUCUCAAAUCAAAAUUGAAAUUAUAAAAAAAAUAAAACUUCUUUUUCGCAGCCUUGAAAUUUGCAUUUUAGGAUAUGGGUUUUGUUUGAAAUGGGACAAAAAAAAACAUAAAGAUAUGUUUGGUUUGAUCCCCCUUUCUUUGUCUUUAUGAAACUAUGACAUCCCAACUAAAUUUUUUAAAAUAUUUGUCCAAAUUCAUUUACCACGUUUUUCAUUUCCAUUUAUCUUUUCAAAUAUUUUACAAUCCUUGUUUAUGAUCCAUCACUAUCUUCUUAUGAUUCUUUUUAUCCAAACAAAUCUUCUUUGUAAAUGCAUGAUUUUUUUUAAAUCGAAUCAAUCAAAUCAAAAUCGAUUAAAUUAACAAUUAUUUGAAGAAUAUAUAUAAUAAUUAUAUAAAAAUUAAAAUAAUUAAAACCCGAUUUAACUAGUAAAAAAUUAUAUUAAAGUAGUAAAAAUUUGUUUUUUAAUAUUUUAAAAAAAUAUAUAUUUGCAAAUAAUGAUUUUAAAUCCUUAAUCACUCUAUUUUAAAUUAGAAACAAAUUAAACCAAAUGCUAUUUUUUUAUUUAAUAAUAUUUAAUAUUUAUUUCACAAUAAAUAAUUAUUUUAAUAUCUAUUUUACUUUGUUGAGGAGGAUCCACUUUUUUUUAAAGAAGUCCUUAAAGUGUCAUUUGUUAAUAAGUUAACAUCGCCUUCAACAAUCGAAGGUAUUAUCCCAAUACAAGAUUUUGUCUCCCAACUUUUGAGGACAGAUUUAUAGGUUCGUUGGUCCAACCCAUUUAGAUAGUUCAAUUAAAUAAAACAUUAAAAAAAUCAUAAAAAUAAAAAAAAUAUAUAUUAAAACUCAAAUCAACCAAGUCUUUUAUCUCAACUCAUACCUGUUCACGAUUCAACUAAUUCAAAACUUUUAAAUUAGUAUUCUAUCUAAUCCCUGAUCUAAUCAUUUUCAUUAACAUAAAACUCAAUUUAGGUAACACUUAAAUUCUACUAAAGGGCUCAAAUUGUUGUCAUUAAAUAAUAAUUAAAUCCAACUCAUGAAAACUACCCAUUACAUGCAACUUGCAACCAUAAAACAAAUAUAAAUGUGCUUAUUUUCUUAAUAAAGUAUAAAUUUGACCUAAUCCAAAAUCAAGGAGGACAAAAUAGUUCUUAUUAUUUUCAAAGCAUUUAAACCUUAAGUCUUUUGAAUGCAUUGCAUCAUGACUACCCAUUUAACCCACAAUUAAAAUAAAAAUGCCAAUUAAAUCAUUGAUAAAUUAAUAAAAUACUUAUAUAUAAGUUUUCAAUCAACGUCAUCAUAUUGAAUAAUUCUACAUUUAAUCCUUAAUGUGUGAUGAUAUGACACUCUGUGAGAGUGUGUCGUAAAAUAUCACGUUAUUAGUUAAAAAUUAAUAUAUACAAUCUAAAAAGUUAUAAAGAAAUUAUAUAGUUUAAAAAAAUGUUCAGAUGAUGAUGUGGAACAAUCUCAUAGUGACACAUCAUUGCACUUUAAUAAGAUCAAAUGUUUAAAGAUUAAAAUGGGAAAACUUCCCAAAUUCCAAGACUAAUGUGGACAAAAAAAAAUUUAAGGCCUAAAAUGAAAAAAAUACUAAAUUUAAGGACUAAAUGUUAUUUAUUGAUUUAUUUUUUAUGGUUGUUAUCAACAUCUUGGCCUUUUAGCUAGCAAGCUAGAUGCUUGUAAUAAUCACACUCAUAUUCUCCCAAAUUAAAUAAUUAAAAUUGCUUUUUUAUUUUGGUUUAUUGCAUUAAAUAAUUAAUAUAAUAAUAGAAAAAGCUUUGCCAAAAAUAAUGUAUGCUUUUAGUAACUUUAAAAGAGAAAGGGCCCAAAGUAGAGGAGAAAAUCCGGAAUUGGGUCCAACAAGUGAUCUUGUAGCAGCGCAUGAACAUAUUAAAUGCAAACACAAAUUAAAAGGGUAAAUUUGGAAAUGCAAAUAAAUUUAGACACUACAUAAAUAUUAUUUUUUGUUUUUGUAUAUUUCAUGUCUAUUUUACGAUACAUGUUUGAGGUUUGAGGUUUGUGGUUGCUUCUUCUGAUAAUAUCGUCUCCAAGGUUUGAAUUUGUAUUCUCUCAUAGGAAGUACAUUAUUUUUUAUCACUACAACCAACACUUGUUGGUACGAUAUAAACAAUAUAUGUAAAAAAUUACAUUUUGACGUACUAAAAUUUAUAUAAAUUAGUCUUCAAACUAUCAUUUUUCUAGUUUGGGUAUUUAUUUUUUUGGGUAAACUACACUGAAGAUCACUAAGCUAUUAGUAAGUUUACAUUUUUGUCAUUCAACUUCAAAAGGCUACAAAAUAGUUAUUGAACUAUUUGAAAGUUUUUAUUUAAGUUAUUGAACUAUUCAAAUUUUAAUUUAAGUUUUUGGGUUGUUAAGUUUUUUUUUUUUAAAGUUUGACUACUAAGUUUCAAGUGACGAUUUAAUAUCAUUACAAUUGAUCAGUAUCUAUCGACGAGUAAGAAAAACAAACCUUAAAUCUAAGUCGAUAUGAUGGUCAAUGUCAGAUAUGUUUGAUUUUUAGUUUGUAGAUUCAUGACAUUAAAAGUUGUUUCAUGAAGAAAAAAACCAAAAUGUAAAUGAGAAGGGGAAUGAGAGUUUUCAAUCGGUGAAGACAAUGCAAACAGAGAAGGCCAUAUAACAACGAUUUUAACAAUCUAAUAACUUAAAUGAAAAAUUUCAAAUAGUUUAGUGCCAAUUUGAAAAAUUUUAAAGUUAAGUGACCAAAAUAUAAAUUUAUUAAUAAUUUAAUAAUAUUGUGUAUAGUUUUUAUCCUUUAUUUUUAAUGGGGUCAAAAGUAAUAGUGAAACUAUCAAUGUCAUAUUGCUUUACUCAAAAAAAAAAUGUAUAAUGUUUAAUAAGAACACGCCACAUUUCAUUCUUUUAUUAGUUGAUACAGUGUUUUGAGUUAAAACGAGACAAAAAUCAUAGUUUAAGUCUCAUGUUUGAUAAAAAAAAUUUAGGUACUUAAGUGAAAAAAAUUUACACAUUUUCAGGCCAAUAAUGCAUUUAGGGCAAAAGAUAUUUAAACUCGAUUUAAAUUAAACCCUCAAAUUUUAAAAUAAUUGAAUUAAAGAACAUUACAUAUUUAAAUGUGCUCGAAUAAAUAUAUUUAUCUUAUUGUAAUCAGGCAUAAUAAUAAAAUUAGCCUUAAACGUUUAUGUAUUUCGUCAAUUUGACCCUUAAAUUUUUUAAAUUAAAUUUGAUCAUUAAUCAUUCAAUAAUAGUCACAUUAUUUUUUUAAUGGAAAUAUUAAGUAAAAUAUUAAAAUUUUAAAUGAUAUUAACAUAAUAACCUGCAUAGAUACUGAGAGUGAUGGAUAUAUCUGGCAGGAUCUGGCAGGUCCUUCUAUUAUAAAAAUCAAAUCAAAUUACUCUAUCUACUAUUAAAUAAAUAAAUUUAAUUAUUAUAUAGUUAAAAAUAAUCAAAUAUGACGAGAUUUAAAUAGAUCUAAAUUUACAGUUAAUCCGUAAAUAAAAAUAAUUUCUGUAUUACAAUUUAAAUAAUAAAUUUUAAUUUUAUUAUAUUUUAACAUUAUUUAAUAUUACAAAAAUUAAAUUAAUUAAAUUAAUAAUAAAUAGAUUAAUUUCAUCCAGUUGUCAAUAACUACAAUCACAAAUCAAUCAUGGCGAGAGAUCGGAACCGUUAAUCAAACGGUCGGGGUUAUCCCAUCAGAUCUAGUCCCUUCAUUAGACUGCCUGCCACCUUUAGUACCCUUUAUUUAAUUUAAUAUUAUUAUUUUUCCUUAAUUUACUAUUUAGAUUUUAGACCAAAACACUCCUUCAAAAAGCUGAACUCAUUUUGGACAUGACGUUUACUUCAUCAGCUGUCUCCUUUUUACAACGCAUCCUUUGUCAUCACCAUUGAACUGAUAUAUUUGGCUCUACAUCAUGAAGAUUUUGUUCAGAUCACCACGUACGUUGAAAAUGAACGGUCCUGAUUUCCGUUUGAUAAUGGUAACAUAUAAUUCCUGAUGUUCUUGACUAAAACUAAUAAAAUAGAUAGGAUUAGGUCCCGGGUUUUCACCCCACGUGUCUUUGAUAAAAAUUAAACAUAAACGUUAUAUACGUUUAGUUUUUUUAUCUUACGUUAUAAUAUUGUUAUAAUAUUUAAUUUUUUCGUCACUAUUAUUUUUAUAUUAAUUAUAAAUAAAUACAUUAUCCAUUCAAAAGAGUCCUAAGUUUAUUUCUUCAAGUUUACUUUUCUCACUUUAAUCGUGUUAAUAAUUAGAGUUUAAUUUUAAAAUAAAUGAAAAAUGUAAUUAAAUUUUUAAAAAAUAAAACAUAAGAUUAAAUUUUAAACUUAUGAAUAAUACAAAGAUUUAUGAUAUAUUUUAACAAAAAAAUAAAUUUAAUUUUUUACUUUCAAAACAAAUAAAAUUUGAUUAAAAUAUGCAAAAUAACUCUUUAUAUUAUUUUCAAAAUUGGAAUUUAGUCCUUUUACUUUUAGUUUUAGGAAUUUAAUCUUUCUACUUUUUAGAUCUCAAAAUUUAAGUCUAAUCUUAAACACUAUUAAUUUUUUUUGUUAAAUUUAAGUUCAUUAUAAUACUAAUUUAAUUAUAUGGAUAUUAAGUUUUUUCUUAUUUAAAAAACCACACAAAAAAAAUUGACAAAAAAUUAAUGGUGUUAAUGGGUUGCAAUUGAACCUAAAUUUUAAAAUUAAAAAAGUACAAGAUCAAAUUCUAAAUUGAGAAAGAGUAUAUGGACUGAUACAUAAAUUCCACACCAACUACCUAAUAACUAUCCAAAAAAAAAAAAAAGAGCGCACUCAGUUGACGUACUCUAAAAUGCGAGUGGGAUAGGAGUAGGAGUUUCGUAACAAUAAAUGAAAAAAAAAAAUUGUUACUUUAUUAUGGGACCGACCGUACGUAAUGAUAAUACAGCCGACUAGCAAAUAGGAUGUGGCGUUAAAUAUCGAACAUGUUGGGUGGUCGGAGGUAAAAAAGCAUUACCGAUUCACGAGCCCCCGAGUGAAGUGACAGCCUGACUCAGUGGGACCCACCAUAGUGUCAAAGCGGCCGAACCCGUCCCUCCUCCUCCCGUUAUCAUAUUUGUUCCAUGUUUAAACCUUUGUGGCAGUCUGCAAAGGUUGUCUCUUUUCUUUACAACAAUAAAAUUACGAUAAAUGUUAAUUAAUUAAUUUAUCAUUGGCUAAGAAUUAAUGUAUAAUAAUUAAUAAUAGAUCAAAUACUGAAUAAUUUUUAGAAGUUUUCAAAAGUUAGAGCUAGGGAGUUUUAAAUGAUGAUUUGACAGCGGAUAUGGUGGAUUAAUACUCAUCGACUAGUAAAAUAUUAAACUUAAGUCGAUCUGAAGAUUAGUGUUAAAAAUUAGAGAAGAAAAUUAUUUGAAUUUUAAUUUACAGAUUCGUGACAUUCAUAAUUAUUUCAUAAAAAAAAAUUGAAUUACAGAAGAGAAGGGAAAAGAAGGUUUUUGAUUGAUACAGACGGUGAAAAUAGAGAAGGCCAUUUAACAUUUUAACAACCCAUGACUUAAACGAAAAUUUUCAAAUAAUUUAGUAAUAAUUUUGUAACUUUUUGAAGUUGAGUGAUCAAAAAUAAACUUACUAAUAUUUUAAUGAUCUUGGCUGUAAUUUACCCUUACAAAAUUUAUAAGAAACAUAAUUUAAGUUGCCGAAGUUGUCGAGUUUUAUGCUAUGCACCAUAGGACGGGAUAAUAAUUAUUGGCGUAAUGAUAAAUUUAACCUUCAAUAUUUAUAUAUUUUUUUCAAUUUGGUUUUUAAUCUUUCAAGAAGAGUUAAAUUAAAUUUAGAAGGAAUGCUUAUUAAAAUAUUGUUCUUUUAAUGAUGUUGGCAUGCAACCUACAUGGCAAUUCACGUGUACUUCAUAUUGACAUGAUAUUAUUUUUCUUAUUUGACAGAUCGAUAAAUAAUUUAAAAUUAUAAAACUAAGAAAAAUUAAAAAUAUAAAAAAGUUCAUCAAAAUUAAAAAAGAAAAUAUAAGGUACAUGUAAACUGCCAUAUGCGCUACCAUGUUUAAAAAUUAAUGUUUUAAUCAAUACAUUUAUUAAAAUAACAACAAUUCGACUAUUUUUUUAAAAUUUAUUAGUUCAAUAACAGUUGAUUUUUAUUUGGUUUUAUAUCUCGGUUUAAUCAUUUGUAUCAUUGAUUUUUGAUUUAAUAGUUUGCAUUAACUAGUAAAUUUGUUUUUUCUUUUUUCUUUUGUUAUGUUUAAUUUUAUUUUUAAAAAUGAAUUUUAGCUAAAAAAUUAUUAAUGUAAUUAAAUUUAACCCGGAAGGACAAUAUUGUCAUUGUAAUAAAGUUUGGUCGGUUUGUUGAGCCGCUAAAAGAACGUUCAUUGCAUUUGGUCUUUGGUGGCGAUGACACGGAUUUUUAGCAACGAUUAUUUUAGAGUUUUUGAAGGAAAUAAAUAUAUUAUUUAAUUAUCAUAUUUUAUAUUAAAGAUAAUUAAUUUUUAAAAAAAUUAUUUCAUAUAAUUAGAAAAAUAUAUAAAUUGAUAUAAAAUAGUUAAAUAUGCAUUUUUUUCUCUAGUUUUUUAUAAUUAUGUUUGGACAAAUAUGAUAUUUAUAAAGAGUAUAAUUAAAACUAAAUUAUAACAUCAAAUAAAUAGAUAGAUAUAGCUUUUUUUUUAAAAAUAAUUUUUAAGAUAAUUUUAAUUUUUAAAAUGAGAAAUUUUCUAGUGAGAAGUUUUUGUUAAAGAUUAUGGAUGAUUUUUUUAAUAUAAAAAGUAUAAUUCAUAAAGAAAUGUAAAUGACAUGAUUACCCUUCGUGUGUAAGAGUAAUUUACGCUUAUUAAUAUAAUGUGAUUGACUAAGUCUCAAGAGUUAACUUGGACAACAAUUCAAUAAGAAAAAUUAUUUAAGAAUAUUUUUAAUAAAUAAUUAAAUAUUAAUAUAAUAUUAUUUUUAUAUUUUAUAUAAAAUUUAAAUAAAACAAAUAAAAAUGCAACGCUUAAAGUUUAAACUUAUGCCUAAUGAAAGUUUCCUAAUAAAUAUUAUAUAGUUUUUCCUAAUAAAAAUCCCAAUUAAAAUGCUUUUAAAAUUUUAAUAAAUAUUUAAAAUUUUUUGAUGAAAUUAACUAAAAAAACAAACAAACAUCCCAUCUAUCACCUCCUCCUUAAAAGUAAAACUCUAGUUUUGUCUUGAAUUAAGCCUCAAGUCUCUCUCCUCUUUCUUUUAAACCAAUUUUAAAAAAUCAGCUUUAAUUAAACCUUCAACUAAUCAAAGUAUUUAAGCUAAUUUAUGUUAAAAGUUAUUAAACUAUUAAUAACUUUAUAAUUUAGUCAUUUAACUUUAAAAAAAAUUAUAAAAUGAUCAUUGAACUAUUUAUUUUUUUAUUUAAGAUAUCCCAUAAAUCCAAACUUAUUUGGCAAUCAAUGUAAGAGAUCAGAAAAAAAAUCUGUUUAGAUUUUAGUUUACAAAUUUUUAAUGUUCAAAGUUAUUUUAUGAAAAAAAACUAAACUGUAAAUGAUGCAAAUAGAGAAGGUCAUACAACAACAAAUUUAACAAUUCGGUAACUUAAAUAAAUUUUUUUGAAUAAUUUAAUAAUUAUUUUAUAAAUUUUAAAAUUAAAUAAUUAAAAUGUAAACAUUCUAAUGAUUGAGUGAUAUAGAGUGAAAUUUACCCUUUAAAAAUUUCAGUCAAUAAUACAAGAAUUACAGCUACACUUUCUAGGCCAAAAAAGUAGCAAUAAAUUUGUCUUUUAGUUGAUCUCAAAACUAGAAAACUUUAAUUUCAAAGUUCCCCUCCCCCAAUAGUUAUCCUCAUUAAAAGCAUAAAGUGAAAAAGAAAUUGCCCUAUCCUUUUCUUCACUCUGUAACUAAAUAACUAAAGCUUUUAAAAUCCAAAUUAAAAAUGAAAACUUUGAUUUAAGACAACAAGUGGCUUACAUUUUAAGCAUAUGGGUCUUUUAUCCUCUUUACAUUUUUACAAUAAGAACACAGAACAAAACAGCAAAGCUUUUGCUUCUUGAGCUGAACAAAAAACAAAACCCAAUGUUGUUUUAGCUAUGGUUGCGUGAUUGGUGUUCUAAAAUUUUCCCUUUUUUAAAAUUUCUUUUUCCCAUUUUUGGGUCAUUGAGUAAAGGGGAAUCUGUUCUGGUCUUUUUCUCUUUUUUAAGCUCUCUCUUUCAUGGCUUCCCUUCCUUUGUUGUGUUCUUCACAUCUUUUUAUUAUAGUUCUUUGCUCUUUGUGUUGUUAAAAACAAAACAUUUUGUUCUUUUAGUGUUGGGUUUUUUUUUUUAAUGUUCUUGCCUUGUUUGUUGAAAUUCCUCAGCGACCUUUCAUUUCUAUUCAUGAGUGUGACUCAUUUUUAAAGGUAUGGAGCAAGUUUCUUCAAUGGUUUAUGUCUUUUUCAUUUGUUAUUUUCUUUGUUUUCCUGAUACUUUAAGAUUUACUUUGUUUUGUUUUUUUUUUACAGUUCGUUUCAAGUUCUUGUUCUACAAAUACAAAAAAACAAAAAGCUGUCUUGUAUUAAUAUGGAGAGUGGUUGUUCAAAGAAGCUUCUUGAUUUGAUUCCUCAAGAAAAAAAAUGGGGUUUCAUUGAAAAUCAAAAUGGUAUAAGCCAUGGAUCUUCAGAAGAGAAGAAACUAGAGCUGAAGCUUGGUCCACCAGGUGAAGAAGAUGAGCCUUUGGUCUCAUUUGGGUAUUUUUCUUCAAUGAAAAGCAAUGCAAAACAGGCACAUAAUAAGUUUCCACCAGCACAGGAGGACCACCGUGGUGGGGCGGUUUUGACUGCCUCUUGGGCCAAAAACCACCACCACCAGCCAAAGCCUCCCAACUGUUCUCAAAAGAGGUACUUGAGUUGAGCUUUAUGUUUAUGUGGUCCAUGCAUGGUUGUUUACAUGUUUUUAUUACAUGAUGAAAAACCUCAAAAUUUACUUAUCUUUCAUGUGUUGUGUUCCUUUUUUAUGUUAUUUUACUACAUGAUUUGUUGAUCUUUAUUUUUAGAUGUAUAAAUUUUACUAUUUUUGUCUAUCAUCUAUAGUAUCUCCUCCUAUUCAAAUAUUAUAUAUAAAUCAUAAAUGGAAAUACUAUUUUCCCAAACAUUUGUAUACUGUUAAAUAUUGGUUUAAUACCUGUUUUUGCCCCUGUAUUUAAUGAUAAUUUCAUUUUAGCCCUUUUACUAUUUUUUUUCCGGUCCUUAUGCCCCUAAUACUUUCAUUAGGUCCACUGCGUUAGCCCCUUGACCAUUUUUCGUUAGAAUCCCACGCGUGAACAAUAAUAAAAGGGUCAAAGUGAGAAUUUCAUUAUAGUACUAGGGUAAAAGUGAAAAUUUUCACUAUAGUAUAUAUCAAAGUGAAAUUCACUAUAGUAUAAGGGCCAAAAUAGGUAUUAAACCUUAAAUAAAUAUUAAAAUGGUUAGUGUUCAACAAAAAGAAAAGGGUGUGUCUUAAUAGUAUGUAGGCUUUAAUAAAUUUCAUUAAUUUACAAAUAAAUUUAUAAAUCCGGCUUUUUUUUACUGGUUGAACUGGUUUUUUUACCGGUCAGACUAAUGGUCGAUUUGAAUAUACUGCUCAGGCCGAGCAUACCAUCGGCUCUUAGUUCAAUCAACUGGUUCAAUCCGAAAUUAUCUUAGUGAGUGUUGUAUAUGAAUGCAUGUUUUAUUUUCUACUUUUUUAUGUUUCGAGGGUCUAUUCAUUAUGAAAUCUUUUAGGAAAAAUGAAAGAGUCCAGGUAACAUCGUGUUAUAAUUAUUAAAACAGGACUGCUCCGGGUCCGGUCGUGGGAUGGCCGCCGAUUCGCUCAUUCAGGAAAAAUCUUGCAACCACUUCAAAACUAGCUUCUGAAUCACCAACUAGUCUCCCUCACAAGGUUGCUAUCGAAAGAAAACCCGCUGCCCCCGAGACUCGUGGUAAGGGUCUAUUCGUGAAAAUCAACAUGGAAGGAGUCCCGAUCGGACGGAAAGUCGAUCUCAAAUCCUACGAUAGCUAUGAAAAGCUGUCGACUGCGGUUGAUGAACUCUUCAGAGGCCUCCUUGCAGGUAUCUCCGAAUUCGAUGCAUGCUUGUACUAAUUAAGUUAUGCGAGUGUGGUACAAUGAUCGAUCUAUUUGUCUUUGGUUUUGAUCCGAUGCAGCUCAACGAGAUCCCUCUGCUGAUGGACCGAAGCAAGAGGAAGAGAAAGUAAUUACCGGUGUAUUGGAUGGAAACGGGGAAUAUACACUUGUUUACGAGGAUAACGAAGGCGACCGGAUGCUUGUCGGUGAUGUCCCGUGGCAGUAAGCAUCGUAUCCCUAUAAAUCUAAUGAAAUUCGACAUCCUACUUAUUCCGUAUAAUGUAUACAUUUGUAUUCGAGUUGUCUUGUAAUUUUCCGUCUUAAAACCGGCAUUAGAUUACUUGUAUCUUAACCAUAAUCAUACCGGAUGGAUUCGCAGUAUGUUUGUAUCGACGGUGAAGCGGCUGCGUGUGUUGAAGAGCUCGGAACUCUCCGUUAUCAACCGUAAGUUACGAUCACUGUUCGAUUAUAUGGUUAUUAUUACAUAUCCAUUUUCCUAGUUUUCAUUAGCAAAAAUUGUUGGCUGUUGUUUUUAUUACAGUUGGAAGCAGUAAGAAGGGAAAGAUGGUGCAAAACUAGAGUUAAUGUUUCAUGCUUUUGACAAUUUCAUCCUCUGUUUUGCAUGGAAAUGUUGUACUCACAGCAAUAUAUAUAUAUAAGUAGUUUUAUAUGUAAUUUUUUUUGACUUGUUGAACAUGCUUUGCCAUUUGGAACAGUGAAUCCUUUAUCUGAAGCAUUAAAAAAAUAUGCUCAAAGUCCCUUGUACUUUUUGUAUAUUUGAAUUUAGUCCUUUUUAUUUUUGGAAAUUUUGAUUCUCUACUUUUCGGAUUUAAGGUAAAGUUUUCCUGACAGGAGAUAUUGUAGAUGUAAAUUUAACAAAAGAAUUUUAAGAGUGUUUACUAUACAAACGAGUAUGUUCAAAUUGUUAUUUAAUAUUAGCUCGAAACUAAAUUGGGGUUUGAAUAGGAUCUAUGGUAGUGAGAAGGAAUUAUAUGAAAAUGUGAUUCUACCUCAUCCUUAUUCCUUUGCAUCCUCCUUAUUUUUACAGUACGUUUGGUUCACAGUAAUGGAAUAGGGCUAUAAUUGAAUAGAGCUGUAAUUGAAUAGAGUUGUAAUGAGAUAGAGCUCUAAUAAGUAAUUUAUCUGUUUGGUUGAAUGAAAUGGAAUAGAACUGUAAUAGUAUUCUUGUGUUUGGUUGAAUGGAAUGAUGUUGUAAUAGCAUAAGGAAAAAAAUUAAAAUGACCAGAAUACCCUCAGCAGAAUUUGUUAAUGUAGAUGAUUAUUGUUAUUGUUAUUAAAUUUUAAUAAGAUUAUUAUUGAAAAUAAUUUAAUAAAAAUAAUAAAUAGUUUAACCAUAUUUUAACAUAAUUAUUAUUAAAUAUAAUUUAAUAAAAAAAUAUAAUUUAAUAACAUUCAUUAUAUAAUUAUUAUAUGAAUUAAAAAAUCAAAAUAUAUAAUACUAUAAAAAUAUAUAUAAUCUACUUUAUUAUUUUUAAACUGCAAUACAUAUUUAGGCUCCGUUUGUUUGCCAGUAAAAUAUUUUCUGAAAAAUAAUUUAUAAAAGUUGUUUUAAAUUAAACAAAUAUAUAUUUAAGAAUUUAUUAUCUUUUCAUUGUUUAUUUGAGUUUAUUAUAUAUAUAUUAAUAAAUUUAUAUUUUAAAUUGUUUUUACAUAUAUUGCAAUGUUUAUUUAUGGGUAAACUAUAAAAAUAGUCACUUUUAUUUACCUCGGGUUACAUUUUAGUCACUUAUAUUUGAAAUGUUACGUUUUAGUCAUUUAUGUUAUUAUUAUCUCCCUAAUGGUAAUCCUACGUGGCAGUCCAACUAGAUUUUAAGUGCCAACUAGAUUUUAAGUAUAUCUGUUAAUACAUACUUUAUCCGGCUAAAUUAUACAGUUUUCUAUUAAUACAUACUUCAUCCGGCUAAAUUAUAUAAUUUUUACUCAAAUGUAUAAUUUAGCUGGAUGAAGUAUGUAUUAACAGUUUCACUCAAAUUCAUAAGUUUGAUACUCAUUACCAGGCGACAUUAGUCAAUCAAGAAUCAAACCAAAAAAAAAAA